CCACACUUCGAUUACCGAUUUACCUCCACAAACUGGUGCGUUUAAGCUCGGAGGGAUGACCUUUCAGCCUUGAGAUCUCCUUUCAACUUCGAUUUCAACGAAGCAAGAAGCAACUUAUGGCAUAUUCGCAAGAUAAGGCCCCUCUUUCUCUUUUUCUUUUAUUUUUUAAACGCAAUGAUGAAUGAUUUGAAAGAAUAAAUCGCCAGGAAAUGUAAAAAUAAAUAAAUAAAUAAAUAAAUUCAAACAGAAAUAACCUUUGAAAAAUUUUGACUGCUUUCUUUGUAUUCAGUAUUCGUUCGUAAUCUUUUUGCACUAAUUUUCUUGGCCUUUUAUAAAUGAUUUACAGAAUAAAUAAAUAAAGAAAAUAAAGAAAAACUCUAAUUGUUGCUGUCAUCUGCUGGCUUAUUUCUGUUAUCAUUUCUGUUCUUGCAGGUUCUAAUACUGACGUGGAGGAGUACGGAGAAGAAAGCUACUCGUGGGGAGGCCGUCUGUGGGUGGCUCGAUUCCAUGGCUAACUGCAGUGCUAGCAUGUUCCAGAAACCCUAGGGGUUUCUGGUACUCUUGGAUUAGUGGGCCCCUUUAGGUUUGGGCUAGAAUUGGGCCAAAUUAGGUUUAUCUUAGAUGGGAUAAAUUUGGAUUUAUUUUAAUGUUUGGGUUUAGUUGGAUUUAGGCCCGAAAAUUUGUAAAUAGACACUGGACCUAUAAAUGAUUUGGUUUAUUAUUUAUUUCUGUUUGAUUUUAUUAUUUUUUUUGUUUUUGGUUUUUUUAGGUUUUUUAUGGGCCCAGGCAAAUUGGGCCUAUUACAACAUUUAAUUUGGUUUUAUUUUAGUUAUAAAUUAUUUAUUUACCUAAUUACAAUUAUAUCUCUUUUAAUUUACAUUCAAGUCUUUAACAUUUUCAAGUCUAAAACCGUCCACUACUAUACAAAUGGUAUAAUUACUAUUUAAAUAGGGUUUAAUUGCACAAUUAAUCCUUUAAUUAUUUUAAAUUUGAACUAAACAAUCUUAAUUUCAAUUUAAUCCUAAACUAAUUAGGACUAAAUGAGAAAAUAUCCUAAAGUUGAUGGAUUUAAUCAUAUCCACCACCACUUGGACUUUUUGACCAUGGUUAAUUACCAUUUUGGUCCUUUUAGCAUUUCAAAUCUAUAACGAUUAAAUUUUACCUCUUUUACAAUUUAAUCCUUUUACAUUAAUUAAGCAAUCAAUCAUCAAAAUUUUUGAACCAAACUUCAUUUCACCUAUAAUACAAUCUUGUAAAUAUUUAAUAAAAAUAUUUACGACCCUAAAUUUCAGAAACGAGGUCCUAAUACCUCAUUUUCAAUAACCACUUGACUUUUGAACCGAACCACUUAUACUAACUUUUAGUUUAAUUGGUUAAGUUCAUCAAAUUAAAAUUUAAUACAAAAAUUAUUAUUGCCUCAUAUAAUUUAAAUACUAAUUGUACAAACUUACUCGUCAGAUUUGUGGUCCUAAGACCACUGUUUUCGACACCAAUGAAAAUCAGGCUGUUACACAUAUAUCAAUCAUCAUUAGAACAUGCCAAACAUACUUUAAAUAAACUUAUAGUAAUAAUUGAACAUGCAUUAGGCUCACUUAGCAAACCUCAAACCUGACUAUGUAGGUAUCGAUACUAGAACAUGAGUAUUGAUAUUUUUUAAAAUUGGUAUCGAUACCACUUGAAAAAUCGAUACCAAACUUGCAUUUUGUUUCUCAUCUAAAAUAAAAACACAAGAAAAUAUCGGUACAACUGAAAAAGUAUCAAUAAAUUUACCCUGAGUAUCGAUACUCGUGAUAGGGUAUCUAUACCAGUUUACGAUUUCGACUUCCUGCACAUUUCAAAAUCAUAGAGGUAUCAUUUUUACAACACGAAUAUCGAUAUCUCUGCUUUAGACCAAAAAAAUACAACACUUUUAAGCAUAUAAGUCAUUCCAACUUGUACCAAUUCAUCUUGAUAUCAAAUCAUCAUCAAAUAAACAUCAAAAUGGUCAUAGUAAUAGUCUCAAACAUCAAAAGUAAGUUCGAACAAUAAUCAACAUAAUGCGAAAUGAAUCUCAUAAAAUUAGGAACAAAUAGUUUAUGGAAGCAUCCAAAACAUAAUGGUAAAUUGAUAGUUAUUUACUAUAACAUCAUAAAAUUAGGACACUGUCGUUCUAAUUUCUUAUACAUUUUUUGUAUUAUAUUUUUUUAUAAACGAUAACUCAUUUAUAGGCGGUCAGUUUAUAAAAUAAAAAGAAAAGACAUCAAAUUACUCGAAUCCAAGCUCAUUAAGUGUUGAAAAGAGCUUAAUUUUCCACAAAGAAUCGUGACAGAUCAAUUACCAAAUUGAUAGUUAUUUGGCCACAAAUUAUCAAAAUUCUACCUUGGGAUCGCAUCAUCUCUAUUUUCUUUGUUGUCAUGUGCAUCUAGACUUGAUUCACUUACUUGUUUUAGUCCUAGAUUACCCACCUCUAAGUUUUCCCCUUAAAAAUUUAGUUUGUAACCAAGAAACAAACAUGUUUACACAUUUAAUUCACUUUCAAUUACAAGUUCCUCAAAUAAUAGAUAAGCGCUAUAUAACUCUCGAUACCAAACAUAUACAAGCCUCUUCGAAAAUAUUAGAGUUUGAAACUUAGUAUUAUAUUAGAUCAAUUACAAUCAGUUCUCAUAAAAAAAUAUUGCUAAACUAACAUACACAAUAUAUUAAUAAAGUCCAAAAUAAUGUAAGAACUUUGGAGAUAAGUUUUCAAUGCAAUCUCGAUUCAAUCUCUUUAUUUCAAGAGAUUUGAUUACUUAAUCUAAUUCGAUCUAACCUUCAAAAUAUGUUGUAUCAAAUGGAUCAUUAUUCAUAAAUGAAGUAUCAUACGUCCACAAUCAACAAGAUUCACAACUCAUGAAUUUUGAUGCAACACCAAAAAUGGUAAUUGAUACUUUCCUGUCGCAGGGAUACCCGCAAUGAACAUAGCACGAGGCAUUGCGCUAACCAACAGCUCAACAAAAUUAUUAUAUAACAGUAUAAAGAAUAAAUUUGCAAAAUGCAAAUCUGAUCAGUUUUAUAGAAUUUAAUCUUCAAAUUCCAUUUUGGAUACUUAAUUAUGUAAAAAAAAAUAGAGGCAGGAUUAAUUUUGCUACAUUAUUAAGUUUGAGCUUUGAGAACUUGAAUUACGUCAUUUAUUUCUAAAAGACGCUAUACCAAAUUACAAUUUGAAUCACAAUAUUUUCUUUUAUUCAGGAAAUAGACCUAACAAUUUAUGUGUCUAAUUUAUGUUAUUUUUCACUGCCGUAAUCAAGCGUGUUACAUUCGAUAUUUUACUGCUUUUUGACAAAUUUGUGUAUUAUCGUUUUCAAUUUUUUCGGGGUCCCAUUAUAGUUAUUUCCUCAUGUAAUGUCUUCAAAAUUACCAGACCUGAUCCUAAUCUGCCAUUGUUCAAAAACUUUUAAAAUCUCAGCAGCCUGUUAUUUUUAUUAAUUUUUUAAAUAAUCUAGCCUGUUGUCAGUAUAAAAUGAGAAAUUAAGAAGAAAUUCUCGAAAUGCUUAACAAGCUUCGAUGAAGGCAAUAUGAAUAAUAUGAUAUAACAUAGUAUAAUAUAUCCUGAGACUAGCGAACUAUAAAUAGAAAUUAAUACUGUUCAAAGUAGCAUUUCUUUGCCAUAUUUAUCUGAGAACGAAACGGGAAAAAGAUAGGCAAAGGAGUCGUUUUUUCCAUGGCAUAAACAUCAUUAAAGUGUUUUAAUCUCCUUAAACAACCCCCUUUACCUAGCCGGUUGAUCAGGUUCCCAUGUCUUUUUUUACAUUAACAGUUUUUGCAGCAUUACUAAAUUGCCUAUAUCUACAGCAACUCAACUAUUCUUUUCACUUACCGUUUAAAACAAGUAGAGAUUUGUAUUUGCAGUUCGAUUCCGUUGGCCAAGAAAGAUUUAAAAUCCUCAUGCAUCUAAACCUAGUAAGUGAAAGAACUAAGUAGAGGCGUAGGCCUUUGAGUUUCAUUCAUAGUUGUCUUUGCUCUUUGUUAGAGGAAUUGUUAUUUGUAUGGUUCAAAAAUGGCUACCAACGCUGCCCCAAUUGCCCCUGUGUGCUCGGCACCGAUGAAGGCAACGUCCAAUGGAGCUUUUCAGAAAGAAAACCCACUCGAUUUUGCUCUCCCAUUGCUCAUUGUUCAGAUAAUUUUGGUGGUCAGUUUUACCAGACUCCUUGCUUUCCUUCUUCGACCUUUAAGGCAACCUAGAGUCAUUGCAGAGAUCAUCGUAAGUCAUUUUUACCUUACUUUUGCUUGUUAUUAUAUCGAAAAAACCCGCUCAAUAAUUAAGUAAUUUAUACGUGAGCUCAAAUAUGAAUGAGAUGGGCAAAAAGGGUAUCAAUACCAUGUUAAAUUGUUUGAUUAGUUGAUUACCUGUCCUGAAAAGUAUAAAACUAACAACUUAUUAUCCAACUUCUAUAUAUUUAAGUUCCCAAGAAGUUUUCUAUAACUAAACAAAUUGAGCUUACGUGCUAUUUAUAUUGAGGAAACGUUCGUUAUCUAAGUAAUGAGUAUGUAUCCAGGGAGGAAUUUUGCUUGGUCCUUCAGCCUUGGGAAGACACCAGAAGUUUUUGGACAUAAUUUUCCCCAAGAAAAGCAUGACGGUGUUGGACACCUUAGCCAACAUUGGGCUGCUUUACUUCUUGUUUUUGGUGGGACUCGAACUCGACAUUCGAGCAAUUCGUCGCACAGGCACCAAUUCCUUAAUAAUAGCCGUUGCAGGGAUCAGUCUUCCAUUUAUUUUAGGCAUUGGUGCAUCGGUUGUUCUUCGUUCCACCGUGAACAAAGGAGUUAGCAACAUAGUUUUCCUUGUUUUCAUGGGGGUUGCUCUCUCUAUAACGGCCUUUCCGGUCCUCGCUCGUAUUCUUGCCGAACUCAAGCUUCUAACAACUGAUGUGGGGCGGAUUGCAAUGUCCGCAGCAGCUGUCAAUGACGUCGUUGCCUGGAUACUUCUUGCACUCGCUAUUGCACUCUCGGGAUCCGAUAGCUCUUAUCUUGUCUCCGUAUGGGUGCUGCUUUGUGGAACAGCUUUCAUUGUGUUUUCCAUUUUUGUAUUGAAACCGAUACUUUCAGUGAUGGCUAGGCGAUCCCCCGAGGGCGAGCCAGUGAAGGAGCUGUACAUUUGUAUUACACUAUCAAUAGUACUGGCUGCAGGUUUAAUCACGGAUAUAAUAGGCAUUCAUGCACUCUUUGGGGCUUUUGUGGUCGGCAUAAUAAUACCGAAAGACGGUCCUUUUGCUGGCGUGUUGAUAGAAAAGAUCGAAGAUCUAGUUUCGGGGCUUUUCUUGCCUCUUUACUUUGCAUCUAGUGGGUUGAAAACCAAUGUUGCAACUAUAGAAGGUGCCCAAUCAUGGGGUUUGCUAGUGCUUGUUAUAUUCACUGCUUGUUUCGGGAAGAUUGUUGGCACGGUUGUUUUAGCAAUGCUGUUCAAGGUACCUUUCAUCGAAGCUUUGGCACUUGGAGUCCUCAUGAACACUAAAGGCCUGGUGGAACUCAUUGUUCUCAAUAUCGGCAAGGACCGCAAGGUAAUAUAUAUAUUCGAAAUUAGUGUCUUGAAAAUGUCCGCAACAUAGGUAUUAAAUUAUCUCGAAUGCAGCUAAAGGUGCGCAUUGUUCGAUCGCAGGUGCUAAACGACCAAACUUUCGCUAUCUUAGUUCUAAUGGCAUUAUUUACAACCUUCAUCACAACACCGAUUGUGAUGGCGGUAUACAAGCCUGCUAGAAAGGGAAAGCCCUACAAAAAUCGAAGGAUUCAGCGACAAGACCUUGAUAGCGAACUUCGAGUCCUGGCAUGUUUCCAUAGUACUCGUAACAUCCCAACGCUGAUCAAUCUGAUUGAAUCCUCUCGAGGGACGAGGAAGAAGGGACAACUCUGCAUAUACGCUAUGCAUCUUAUGGAACUCUCUGAACGAUCAUCGGCCAUUUCAAUGAUCCACAAGGCGCGCAAAAAUGGACUACCCUUUUGGAACAAGAAACCUGGGGAUCAAAAUCAUAUGGUGAUUGCAUUCGAGGCCUAUCAGCAGCUAAGAAGCGUCGUUAUCCGCCCGAUGACUGCAAUCUCACCAUUGAAUAGCAUACAUGAGGAUAUUUGCACCAGUGCGGACCGAAAACGAGCUGCCUUGAUUAUCAUACCAUUCCAUAAGCACCAAAGAGUAGAUGGAACAAUGGAAUCUUUAGGACACUCAUUCCAUCUAGUCAACCAACGCGUCCUCCGACAUGCCCCUUGCUCGGUCGGAAUCCUUGUAGACCGUGGCCUGGGUGGCACCACCCAAGUCGUCGCCAGUGAAGUGUCAUACUCAGUGGUGGUUCCUUUCUUCGGCGGCCAAGAUGAUCGUGAAGCACUUGCAUAUGGAAUGAGGAUGGCUGAGCAUCCUGGAAUCAAGCUCACCCUUAUUAAAUUUACACCCAAACCUGAAACGGCACUUAACCAUCCCAAGGCUGAUGUGGGAGCUGAAUCCAAGAAAGACAACGACAUUUUCUCGGAGUUCCUUAAUUUAAGCAAAAGCAGUGAGUCUGUAAAACAUGAAGCGAUAGCAAUGGGAAGCAGAGAAGACGUAAUCGCAGCUUUGAGAUCAAUGAGCAACUCUACACUGUUUUUGGUAGGAAGAACGUCUCCGGCAAUGCCUUUGUCGGACAGGAGUUCGGAUUGUCCUGAACUAGGUCAUGUCGGGAGCUAUUUAGCCUCAUCGGAUUUCUCCACUACUUCAUCCAUUUUGGUUAUCCAACAAUAUGACCCUUCCAUAAACGCCAUGGAAAAGCCUCUCGAUGACAUCAAUGAGGCUUCAAAUAAAACAGUGUCAAAUGGUGUAUGAGAGAUUCAAGCUCCAAUUCCUUUGAUAGAUUCCUUCCUCGAUGGUGAAAAAUAAAUCUUAGGGAGAGAGAAAAGGUCAACUAUACGUUCAGUUACAUUGGCUCUUCAAUAAUGGUUGUUAUGAUUGUAUCCGGCAGGCUACGAUUAUGUGUCCCACAUUUUAUUAGGAAUACUUUGUCAUAAAACUGCACUCGAUCAUUGCGAUUAUUGUGGUUGUAAAAUGAAUAGUAAAAGGACAAAAGAUAAAACAAUAAUUUAUCGACAUUAUUUUGGUACAUCAAAUAAAUUUUUUUUUUAACAUUUGUUUAUGAUAUUGCAUUACUUGUUUGGCAUUACAAAUCUUGUGGUAAGGUUGUUUUGUAUGAAAAAUUGGUAGAAAUUGUAAAAAAUUAUAGUUAUUAAAGGUAAGACGAGUAGUAGAAAUUGUCUUAAUAAUAGUUCUCUCUCUAUUGUUUAGGAUAAUCAGGUAACAUUAUUUCUAAGAUAUGAUGUCUUUAUCUUGAGUUAGAACAAUGUGGUUGUGUCACGGGCCGCAGAUCAUAGUCUACCACCGUUGCACACAAAACGUCCAAUAGAUGUCAACUUCUUCAAUGGAUCACAUUUAACCUAAAUAAACUGGCUGGACACGUGGAACAUAUAAAGAAGUCCAUCUACUUGAAGCAUUGAUGGCCCAAUGAAACACUUCAGUAAAACUAGAAUUACCAGGGUAAAUAGUAUAAAUCUGAACAGGAUAAGAUUGUGUAAAGUUUAAAUCUCUUAGAACUCUUAAUUAUGGAUAGACUCUAAUCUCGAUCACUGAUGUAACUCAAUCUGUACUGUUAGUUUUAGGGGUGCUCAACUAUGAAUAAAGGUCGUCUUCCUCAUUUGUAUUCACUUAGUUGUAAUCCUUCAAAGUAAAUGAAUACUAUUGAGAGCAUUUACUCAAACACUUGGUAAGAGCUAUUUUUCUGUAGCUUUUUGUUCGUUCAUAGCUUCUUUUUCCUUUCGAGUUCGCUUCUGCUUUGCUUUAGUGCCUUAGAGAAUUUUUUUCAAGAAUUAACAUUUUCCAAGAGUAGACCGACUUAGUCUAGAUUUGAGCACAAGAAAUUGCCUAAGGUUGCACGGUUUGUCAGACUAAAUAUCUAUCUCCAUGACAGUUGGUAUUAAAGCUAGUCUUUGAAGGCAUUGAUUGAGAUGGCGAAAGGAAGAGACAAGUAGAAUGUCCCAGUGGAGACCUGUGGGAGGUCUAGGAAAAUAGCAUAUUAUGGAUAUGUUGUCGGCUUUGGUAGUUAGGUGACCAAUCUCAAGGAAACCAUGGGAAGUACGAAGGAAAUUGUAACACCCCGAAUUUGGGCCUAGAAGUAUUGGGCCUUGAGUGGGGGUCCGUAAGGAGGUUGUAUAUAGGUAUUUAAUUGUGCAAUGAAAUGAAGCAAUUAAAUGUUUGCUUUAGUGGUUAAUGGCUUUGAGAAGCGUUGGAGAAAUCUUGGGUUUAAACUUGGGCUUUAGCAAAAAUUUUGGUAUUAAGUGAAAAAAAACUUGGUUGCUUGGAUGAGGGCCUUUUAAAUUAUUGUGGUAAAUAAAUGACACAAGAAAGCAUGUAGUCUAGUGGUUGUGGUGUCAUUAAGGUUGUAUAGGAGCCUGGAUUCAAGCCUUGGCUCUUGCAAUUUAUUUUGGUUUUUUUAAGGGAACCUGGACUUUGGCCUUUAGACCUUAUAAUUAAUUGGGGAUAAAAUAUGACACAAAAAGCCUUGUGGUUUAGUGGCAAGUAGCAUGUGGAACAUCUGAGGGGAGGCAUGGGUUCGAAUCCCAUGGCAAGCAAGGAGCAUUUAUUUUGCUAACAGGAGGCGGCAAGAGUUGGUGUUGAAUUUAAACUCUGAUGUUGGAAGGAUCCCACAUCGGGAAGCUAACAUAAGAGUGGUUGCGAAGCUGGCUUUAAAUAGAGGGAACCAUGAGGAGAGUAAAUGUACCUUUUCUUGGCUGAUCCCUUUCGCUGUAUGGCGUGCUCGUUUGGGUUAGGUGUCAGCUAAGAGUGCUCAGAGCUUGGAUUAACUCCAGUCGCCAAUCAGGUGUGUAUUUCUCGCUACUCUAGCUGUAGGAUAGCUACUUCGAGCCGCGAUGGGCCGAAAGGGGCCAUGUGGGCCCAAUGGGCCUAUGGUCCCAAUUGGAUAAGUUGUUUGAUUUUGUAGUAAAUAUUAGACUAGGCUAGGUGAAUCUCAUAUCUGUGGCUAGAUUUGGGCUAAAAGGGUCACACGAGCGUGUGGGCCCAUUUGGGCCGAGAAUAGGCUUUAGGCCCAUUCGUAUUGUUAUCCCUGUUUAGAAUAAUUUAGUUUACCAAAUUACUGAAAUGCCCUUAAAUUGUAAAAUUACCAAAGUACCCUCGAUUUAUAAAAUUAUCGUUUUACCCUCGAUUUAUAGAAUUAUCGUUUUACCCUCGAUUUAUAGAAUUACUGUUUUACCCUUGAUUUACAGAAUUAUUGUUUUACCCUCGAUUUACAAAAUUACUAAAAUACCCUUGGUUUACAAAAUUACCAAAAUACCCUCGAUUAGUAAAAUUACCAAAAUACCCUAGUCUGUAAAAUUGCUAAAAUACCCCUGGUUUGUAAAAUUACAGAAAUACCCUCAAUUUGUAAAAUUACCAAAAUACCCUUAGUUUGUAAAAUUACCAAAAUACCACUAGUUUGUGAAAUUACCGAAAUACCCUCAAUUUGUAAAAUUACCAAAAUACCCCUGAUUUACAAAGUUAUAGAAAUACCCUUGACUUUCUAAAAAUUAUGGAAAUACCAUUGGUUUACAAAAUUACUGAAAUACCCUUGGUUUGUAGAUUUACAAAAACACCCUUGUAGGAUGAAAUGACUAAAAUACCCCUAUUAGGUAAAAAGACCGUAAAGCCCCUAUAGGGUAAAGAGACGUAAAGCCCCUAUAGGGUAAAGUGACCGUAAUGCCCCUGUAUGGUAAAAUGACGAAUAUUCCCUUAUGUUCCGUAUGACUGAUGUGCUUAGGAUUUACAUAUAUUGAUAUUGGAUUAGUUAAGUUUGAGUGACAGGUGGUGGUUAUCGUAGGCGAUUGAUUUUGGAAACGUUUCAACUUCAACCCGUAACAGGUGUGUACUAACCCUCGUAAUAGCUUAGAUUACUAUUUGCUGAGAAGCCAAAAUGCUAAAAUACUGGUAUUUCGGGAACUUGUAAUGUUGCGUUUGGGUAUAGAUGCGAUAAAUACUAUAAGAUCGGUGUUUGGAUCGAUGGAACAGGUAAAAACUCAAUUUUGUGCACGAUGGUAAGUUGGGCCUCAAUGGGCUAAAAUUGGGCCCAAUGGGCUUUCGGACCCAUUUGGGUAGAAUUGAUAGAAAAUGGAAUUUAGAAAAGUUGCACAUUAACACGGUUAGUAUUGUUGUAAAAUUUGGGUAAAGUAGGCUAAAUCAGCAUUCGUAGGGCCCAUUAGGGGUUUUGGGCCCAAAAGCCCGAAUUUGAUAAAGUGGGUUAAAGAUCAUUGUUUAAACACUCAGAAAUAUUGAUAAUUGUAAUGAACAUGGAAAACCCUGAUAUUUGGUAAAAUUACAAAAAUACCCUUAUAAUGUGAAAAAUGAUUGUUUUGCCCUUGUGGGCAAGUGACUGACUUGGACUGUGUGGUUGACGGAUUGAUUGUGAAUAUAUGUUGGUGAUAUGAAUGACUUGACUGUGAUUGUUUAUUCAAAUAUGGGCAUGACAUUCUGCACACAUGACAUGUUGCAUUGGGUUGGGUUUUUAUAUGGAUGGAGGAAGUGCAAAAGAGCUUAUGCCCCAGUUUAUUGAAAAGGGCUUUGCCCCAGUUAUUAAAAGAGGCUAGCCCUCCAGAUAUAUGAUAAAGCAGCUAUGCUGCCAGUGGUGUGUUGGUUGGGUGGGUUGAAUCAUUCUCCACAUGGUGUGUUGGUUGGUACGGGUGGAGAGUAGCGGAUGGUGGGUCAAGUAGUCUCCCCAAAUGGGCUUGCAUACAUUCAUUGGUAUUUUAUAUGAUAUUGAAAUGGGCUUGCAUACAUCCAUUGACAUUACAUGUGUUAUUGAAAUGGGCCUAUGGGCCAUACCGUUUACAAUAAAGGCUUCGGCCCAGUGAAAUAAUUUAUGAAAAGGCUUCGGCCCAGUGAUAUGAUUUAUGAAAAGGCUUCGGCCCAGUAUAUGUUGAGACUGAAUUAGGGCUUAGGCCCAUAUUGCUACUGUUUAAGGGCUAAGGCCCAAAUUGUACUGUUACUGAAUAGGGCUUUGGCCCAAAUUGUAUUGACACUGUGUUAUUCACUGUUUGUUUGUUGUUGGGGAUUACACACUGAGUUUUUGUAAACUCUCCCCGUUUCUAACUGUGCAGUAAUCCCUAAGCUUAGAUGGUUUGGAGCUGCGAGGGACUCAGAGAUGGCCACACUACUAUUUCUGUUUCUUUUAAUUGCAAUAAGUAACCGGUUUAUUUUUUUUAUAAGUUUUAUCUCAAUUAAUAUUAUUAUUUGGUUUUGGGUUGUAAUAAGGCCAUUUUAAUUAUUUUUCUGGGAUUAUUUUAUUUUAUACCUUAUAUUUUACUGAUAACAAUCCAAAAUGGGUUAGACUUAGGCCGCGUUUUCAAAAUGAUAAUUGUUUUCAAAAUAACGCAAUGAUACAAUUAAUCGAUUUAUCAAAAAUAUCUACUUAAAUGAAUUCUAACUCGUUUUUCUCAAAACCUAACCUCGCACCAAAGUGUGGCAAUGGUUGUGGGCAUGUCUAGGAUUGGAUCCAUUCGAAGAGCUUGGUACUUAAGCAACCUUCAUGGCUCACCUCUUCUAUUUUUGGAUACCUACCUGGUGCGCAGCUUCCAUUCACUUGGUUAAGCCUUAUCAAACGACGGUUUUUUUAAAACACUAAAACAAAGCUGGGUUUGGGGUGUUACAGAAACACUUGAAGUACUUGAGGGAUGCACUGAUAAGUUAGACUCAAUUAGAGAGCAGCUCAGGGACUUUGUGAUAGAAACUAUUAUUUCCAAUCAGGGUACGAUGAGAGCAACCCUCAAUACUGUUAUGGAUGAUCAAAUCAAGAAGCUAACUAAGAGAGAUGAUGCUCUCGAAGUGAUGGUCAUGGCUUUGAAGGAGGAAACUGAGGCCAUGAUGGCUAAUAAUAAGGAGCUCAAGGGUGAACUUGUUCUGUGAGGAGCUAUUGUGGGAAAAGGGAUGCUGGUUUCAUUUCCUAAGCAACGUAAGAUAGAUCUCCCUAAGUCAAAAAAGUUUGGGGGGCGAAGUCCACAAGAGAUGUGGACAAUUUUUUAUAAGGGACGGAAAAGUACUUCCGUCCAAUAGGCAUCGAGGAUGAUGCCACUAAGGUGUUUCUUGUAAAUAACUAAUGCAAUUGUGCAAGUGUACACGUCAUUCAAGUAAUAAAAUGAUAAGUGAGUAUCACCUCUAUAGGGAUUGAAAAUUGGAAAAAAAUUGAGUAAGUUAUUAUAAUCCUAUUAACUAUACUAAAUAAUAGGAAAUACUCUUAAAUUGAAUAGGAUGUUUGUAUAAUGAAUUAAUGAAAUCAAAUGGUAAAAACAAAGAAUUGAUAUGACAAAUAAAAUGUAGUGACAAAUUAUAGAGAAAAACAAGAGUAAUUCUGUUGUUAAAUGAAUAGGGCUAGAAUUAUUCAGGUGAAAUGAUCAUAUCAAAAUUAUGUCAUGGUAAAAUAUUGCCUAAUCAAAUGCUCAGAGAGUCAAUAUUGUAACCUACCUCUUCCGAUAGCUAGAUCUUAAGCUAAAAAUCUAAGUUAUGGUAUGUCUACAGGACUCUAGAUUAAUAACUGCAAUGAACGUUCUCCUCUGCACAACUCAUAACAUCUAUGUCUAGAGUGCUAUGAAUAUUCUGUCGAGUAUUCGCUUGCAUCAAAUGAUUCAAGAUCCAGUAUAUUUAACCUUUUCAAAAUUAAAAAUACAUCUAAGAACACAACACAUAAUCAACUAUGUCUAGAGCUUGCAUGCAUGUAUUUAAAAUAAGCAUAAAUCGAAUGAAACAAUGAUAUAGACAAUCUCAAAUCAUGAGUAUUAAAGAUGAUAAAACAUUCACCCAAAUAACUCCAACCCAGAAAUGAUUUAGUUCAUGGGUGGAAAUGUUAACACUAAAUUAAAAUCUUUCAUCAACAUUGAAACAAGUUUGAAUUACAGAAAUCAGGAAAACGAAGGCAGAAAUUGUACGAUUUCUUGCCACACUUCAGCUUCUCUUUUAUCUUCUGAUUGUACCUGAUGUCUCUUCCCUUUCUUCAUGUCUCUAUUCUGCUCCCUAUAGCUACUACCCUUUCUUUCUGUAGAAUUCUCCAAUAGAGUUCAUCUCUGCGCAAAGAAGAUUGCUGUCACCAGUCUCUUUCUCAUGCUGAUUCUCCUCCCUUUUUUUUUCUCUCUCCUUCUUUUAUUUGGUAGAUUCAUCCCACCUUAGCACACAUUUUUCAUUCCUAUUUUAAGGUUGGUUUUCUCUGGUACACACAUAGUUGGCUGAGAAUGACGUGGAUAAAGUGCUGAGUCAUCUUCCUAGAAUUGCCAUGGCAUUUAUGUUGGCAAUCAAUCUCACAUUUGCCACGGAAAUGUUUCACUUCCUUCAUUCUCUUCCUCUUUUUUCUCCUUUUCUUCAUCUUUUAUGCAAUUUCUGUAUACAACAACUAAUUCCCUUUCUCCCAACAGGAAAAGUAACAUAAAAUGACAUUCAAGGCACAAUCCAAGUGCUAUUAUGCAAUGUUCUAAAAAUAACCUAAAAAUGCAAAUAUAUCUACUUAAGUACAUUCAUUUAAAGUUUAAAGGCUUAAAAUAUAACUCUUUUCAAGAGUUAUUACACCCCCAAACCUGAAUUAUUACAUGUCCCUAAGUAGAAUAUAUGUAAGUAUGCAUGAAUGCAUGAAUUUUCCAUAACAUGACAAUUACCUCGUAUACUACUAAACUAUCUGAAGUAUAUUUGAUACCUCUAUUCUCAGCAGCCUUCUAUCUCAAAAAACAUGGUUCAAAUUUUAUAUGUUUGUUUAGCAUACAUAGUGUAGAAAAUGUUACCUAAAAAUAAAAUAUCCUAAAUAUUCAUGCAAAUUUGACUAUAGUAAGCACCCCUAAUGUACUUAGUUUAUCUUUCCACUAAAACUUAGUGUCUCUUCUCAUAAUUAUUCUGUCAUUACAUACUUUAAUUAUAUAAUUUUUUCUAGGGAAUUCAUUUUGUCACAUGAUUUCUUUACUUGACAAUCUCAAUGGAGCAUACACUAGAUUGCCAAAUAUUACAUCACGCCACAAUUUGAAUGUAAUUCACUCAUGAAGUGAAGGCUUUUGACUAAAAAGAUAGAUGGAGCAAACAACUACCCCCUUAGCUACUUAGCCUACUGCUAGUGGAGCGCCCCUAAAUUGUUUUCUCUCAUUUUCCUUUUCUUUGUUUUUUUACUCACUCUUAUUUGAUCUUGUUUUUCCGAUCAAUAAUACAAGGGAGCAAAUAGUGUAUUAGUGACCUACUAAAUAAUUUCAAACAUUGGAGUGCUUCAUAGCAUCUUUUUAAUUUUCUUAUUGAUUUACCCUCAACUUUGUCGUGGUAUUUAUUAUUACACAUUGCUAAUUUACUGACCUUAGGCUCAAGAAUUUCUAAGUGUAUUAAAAGAAACCUACUAUAGAAGAAUUGUAAUUAUAAUUAGGGCAUUCUAGUUUUAGGGAUCAAUUUUCAAACAACUAUCCUAAGCUAAACAUACCUAAUCAACUAUCACAAUUUUCUAAAUUUAUUGAAGAGUUAUCGUCCUCAUAAAAAAUCAUAGAUAACAAUAUACUUGUCAUAGUCUAGCAAUUAUUUGGCAUUUUUAUGUCAUUGAAAAAUGAAUGAAAAAAUGAAAAAUAUUAAAAACACAUAUCUCAUGCAGACAAUAUGCAUAACACAACACACCCCCAAACCUAAGGGAUGCAUUGUCCUCAAUGCAUGAACAAUUUAAAAUUCCAAAAUGCAAAAACAAAAACACAUAUAUAUACAAUGCGAUGACAACAAUUAUGAAUGCAUGAAAAACACAUGGUAUAUAAUGAAAAAUAUGCAGAUGAAAAUAAAGACGAAAGCUCGGGAAAAUUUUGGUGUUACUUUAAUUUGUGCGAGUUGUUUUUCGAGCAGUGCGCUUGUAAUGCUGCCUCCGUUUCAGCAUAUUAAUUGGCAGAUCUUCUUCAUCAUUAUCAUCUAAUUUUGUGAGAUCAUCAAUCAGUUGAUUAAUCUCACGAUAUUGCUUCGAUAUGGGUGCAAUUGAUUGAGGUGCAGUAGCAGGUUGUAACACCCCUUACCCGUAUCCGUCGCUGGAACAGGGUACGAGGUAUUACCGAAUCAUAGUACAUACCAUUAAAUAAAACCAAGAUAAAAAUAUGGCAUACAAUUAGAUCAUGAAUCAUUAUAACAUAUGCCUUUAAUAAUAUUAGCCAAUUUCAAAGGCUUCGUACAAAAUAAUCGGCCAUAUAUUAUACUUAAUAUUUUAAAACCUAGACAAUUAUGACACGUAACAAAAUAACUAAGUCUACUAUACAUGCCAUAAUUCAAAAUGUUUAGUUCAAAUACCCAAAAAUAUUGAUAGUGCAGGCAAAUCUUCAACGAUCCUUGACUCCUGUGCAAGCUGGACGACACUAUAAGAAAAAAGAGAGAAAAGAAGGUAAGCUUAUAGCUUAGUAAGCAAGUAUGUAAAUAAUGAAUAAAGAAUUUAAUAUGUUUACACAAUAACUCAAGCGUAUCUACUUUUAAUUUCACCAUUUACUCCACUUUGGUCAAGCUGUCUCUACUGCAUCAUACUCACUAAAUAAAUCAUAACUCGAGUUCAAAAAUUUGAAAUUCAGAUCCGUAAAAUUUUCCUGAAACUAGACUCAUAUUACUUCUUACUAAUUUUUUUCUAGAAUUUUUGGUCCAGCCAAUUAGUACAGUUUAUUAGUUGAAAUUUCCCCUGUUAUACAGCUCGACUGAUCUGACCUCUGUUCACAACAAAUUGAAUUUCUCCCAGUACACAAUUCAAAUAAGCAUUAAAUUUGUUUCAUUUAAAACUAGACUCAAUAAGGAAUCUAUACAUAUAAACUAUAUUUCUUAAUUAGUUUUUUACAAUUUUUAAUGAUUUUUCAAAGUUAGAACAGGGGAUCACAUAGUCAUUCUAAGCAAGUCACACAUAAAUAUAAAUAUCUCAAAAUAUAGAGUUCCUUUGCUUUCUCUGUUUCUUUUACAUGAAAAUAGACUCAUUAAUAUUUAAAUUAAUAUCUCAUUCAGCCUCUAAUUAAAUUCCUACUAUUUUUUGUGAUUUUUCAAAUUUACGUCACUGCAACUGCCCAAAAUAGUAUUAUUGCUAAUUCACUAUUUCACACUUUCUUUGUAUUUACCGCAUUUAGCCGACAUAUCACAAUUCACUUUCACCACAUUUCAUACAUCACAAGUGUAGGUUCAUGAUUACAAUGUCACUAUAAAAUAAACCCGUUGAACAAUUCGGAUCAAUCCUCGAUACUUGGUGGUUUCAGCACACAGCUCCGCCAUCAUAUUUCAUAUAAUUCGGCUCUCUUUUACACAUGGUGAACACUUAGUACCACCCAUGUGACCUAGCCAAUUUAUCUCGUAGCUCUCUUGUCUACAUUGUGUCCUUCACUUGGAAUCACACAUGUGACCUAGCUAAAUUUAUCCUCUCCCGUAGCUCUCUUGUCUACAUGGGAUACAUCCCGUAUCACACAUGUGACCUAGCUACUACAUAGUAUCUCGUAGCUCUCUUGUACACAUGAUGUGCACUCAGCACCAUACAUGUGACCUAGCUACAUUUCAUCUAUAUUAUUCAAUCUUUCCGAAAGUUCAACCGGGAUUUCUCUCACUAUUACUUAUUUCCAUUCUUCCAAUAGUGGAUUUAUGAUUCAAAAUCAACUAAAAUAUAUAAAAUAGGCUGAAAUACAAAAAUGUAAAUGAAGUUAAUGUAUUAUUUACAUACAAACUUACCUCACUGCAAAAUAUGAAAAUUUUGCAAUUUAGUCCAAAACCUUUUCCUUCCCCCGUUCGAGGUCGAUUCCACACCUUUCUUGAUCUAUAACAACACAUUUAGCUCAUUUAACACUCAUACUAUUUAUUUCAAUCCAAAAAUCACAUUAUGAAAAAUUACAUUUUUGCCCCCUAACUUUUACAAAAUUAUGAUUUUGCCCCUAGGCUCGAAAAUUUAAUUUCAGCCCUUAUUCUUAUGUUUUAUGACAUGAUGAACAUUUUUCUCUUCUAUAACAACAUCAAAUUCUCACUCUAACAUGUACUUAUGAGCAUUAGCUAUUUUUACCGAUUAUACCGUUUUGCUCGUUUUCGCUAAAAAUCGCUUAGAAAAGAUCGUUCUCCUAACCUCAAACAUUCAUAUUCUACCAUAAAACAUCAAAAUACAUGCAUAUCAUUCAUGGGUAAAUUUUUAAACAUAAACCCUAACUCAAAAUAAUGGUAGAAAUAGGUAAACCGAGCUACGAGGAUUUCAAAAAUGUAAAGAACAUUAAAAACGGGGUUUGAAUGCACUUACUAUUGAAUUUGAAAGCUUGGAAAAACCCUAGCUAUGGUGUCUAUGAGAGUUCUGGCCAACUUGAUGAAGAUGAUACCAAAUUUUGGCUUUGUUUUCCCAUUUUAUUAUUUUAUUUACCAAAUGACUAAAUUACCCUUCAUUAAAAACUAUGAUGUUUUAUCUUCCUUUAGGUAUUUUUGUCCAAACUAGUAUAAUGGGCUAAUUGCUAUACAAGGACCUCCACUUUAAAAGCCCAUUACUCACAAGUACUUAGUACCUUUGUGAACUAGAACACACAUUUUUCAACUUUUGCAAUUUAGUUCUAAAUAUUAAAUUGGACCUUCUAUCGAUAAAAUUUCUAAACAAAAUUUUCACACAGUCAUGAAAUCAUGCCAUAGACCUUAAAAUGAUAAUAAAACUAUUAUUUCUAUCUCGGAUUUGUGGUUUCAAAACCACUAUUCCAUUUUGGCCCUAAAUCGGGCUGUUACAACUCUCCCCCCCUUUAGGGAUUUUCGUCCUUGAAAAUCUUACUGGUAAAGAGGUUUGGGUACUGUUUUCUCAUGGCUUCCUUCGGUUCCCAUGUAGCUUCUUCUACUCCAUGUCUUUUCCAUAACACUUUCACUACAGCUAUGCUUUUCUUUCUCAACUGUUUCACUUCUCGAGCCAAUAUCUUAAUCGGUUCUUCAUCAUAGGUCAAGUGAGAUCGAAUCUCAAUUUCUGUUGGAGAAAUUAUAUGUGAAGGAUCAGAACGAUAACGUCGCAACAUUGAUACAUGAAACACAUUAUGAAUUCUUUCUAACUCUGCCGGUAAAGCCAACCGAUAUGCCACUGGUCCAACCCUUUCAAUAAUCUCAUACGGCCCAAUAAAACGCGGACUCAACUUGCCUUUUCUGCCAAAUCUCAGAAUCUUUUUCCAUGGUGACACCUUCAAGAACACUUUAUAACCCACCUGAAAUUCAAUCUCUUUUCUUUUUAAAUCUACAUAUGACUUUUGUUGAUCUGAAGCAGCUUUCAAGCAAUCCCGAAUUACUUUUACUUUAUCUUCUAUUUCUUUAACUAGAUCAACUCCGUGAAUCUGUUUCUCACUAAGUUCAGUCCAAUACAAAGGAAUCCGACACUUGCGACCAUACAAGGCUUCAUAUGGUGCCAUCUGUAUACUCGACUGAAAACUGUUAUUGUAGGCAAAUUCAACCAAAGGUAGAUAUUUCUCCCAACUGCCUUCAAAUUCCAAAACACAGCAUCUAAGCAUAUCUUCGAGUACUUGGAUUACUCUUUCUAACUGACCAUCUGUUUGUGGAUGAAACACGGUACUAAAGUUCAAUUUUGUGCCCAAAGCUUCUUGUAACUUUUUCCAGAAUCUCGAGGUAAACCUCGGAUCUCUAUCUGAUAUUAUAGACAUAGGUACCCCGUGCAACCUCACAAUUUCAACAAUAUAUAAUUCAGCUAAUUUAUCAAGUGAGUAAUCGGUACGUACCGGUAUAAAGUGAGCCGACUUUGUUAACCUAUCAACCACUACCCAGACAGCAUCCUUCUUUCUAGGAGUCAGAGGCAAACCAGUUACAAAAUCCAUGGUAAUCCUAUCCCAUUUCCACUCAGGCACCAUUACCGGUUGGAGUAAUCCUGAAGGCACUUAUGCUCAGCUUUUACUUGUUGACAGAUCAAACACUUAGUUUCAAAUUCAGAAAUGUCCCUUUUCAUGCCUGGCCACCAAUAUAAUUUCUUUAAAUCAUUAUACAUUUUUGUGCUACCAGGGUGAACUGACAAACAGCCACUAUCCGCCUCAUGUAAUAUUUUCUGAAUCAAUUCGUCAUUUUUCGGUACACAUAUCUUGUCUCGAAACAUCAAACAGUCAUCUGGUCCAACUCAAAAAUCUGAGUCGUAACCUGAUUCGCACUGAGUUCUCUUGGUUCACAACUCACUAUCAUUCUUUUGAGCAUCACAAAUCAGCUGGAGAAAUAACAGUUUAGCCCUCAUCUCUACUAAGAUUGACCCAUCAUCAGACAAUGCUAACCCCGUAUUCAUGGCUCUCAAAGUAAAAAGAGAUUUCCUGCUCAAGGCGUUAGCAACUACGUUUGCUUUUCCCGGAUGAUAAUCAAUCACUAGCUCAUAAUCCUUCAAUAAUUCAAGCCAUCUCCACUGUCGCAGAUUCAAAUCCUUUCGAUUCAUCAAAUACUUCAAACUUUUGUGAUCAAUAAAAAUUCGGCAUUUUUCACCAUACAAAUAACGUUGCCAGAUCUUCAAGGCAAAGACAAUAGCGACCAAUUCCAAAUCAUGUGUAGGAUAGUUCUUUUCAUGCGGCUUUAACUGUCUCGAGGCAUAAGCUAUCACUUUACCCUCUUGCAUCAGUACACAUCCAAGGCCUGUCAAUGAUGCAUCACUAUAAAUUACGAACUCCUUCACUGGCUCGAGCUGUACUAAAAUUGGUGCUUCAGUCAAUCGUGCUUUCAGCUUUUCAAAACUCUGUUGACAUUUAUCAGUCCAUUCAAACUUAACAUUCUUUUGCAGCAACUUAGUCAUAGAAGAGGCAAUCAUCGAAAAUCCCUCGAAAAAACGUCUAUAAUACCCGGCUAAGCCUAAAAAGCUUCUAACCUCGGAUACAUUCUUUGGCGGUUUCCAAUCAACGAUCGCAGAAAUUUUGCUCGGAUCCACCCGAAUACCAUUACCUGAGACUAUAUGCCCCAAGAAUCCGACUUCACGAAGCCAGAACUCACUUUUACUAAACUUAGCAAAUAGUUUCUUUUCUCUCAAGAUCUGUAAUAUGGUUCUCAUGUGUUCGGCAUGCUCAGACUCGUCCCAAGAAUAAAUUAGAAUGUCAUCUAUGAACAUUACUACAAACUUAUCCAAAUAUGGCCGAAAGAUUCAAUUCAUCAAGUCCAUAAAUAUAGCUGGAGCAUUUCUUAAGCCAAAAGGCAUCACAAGAAACUCAUAAUGUCCAUACCUUUUCCUAAAGGCAGUUUUCGGCACAUCCGACUCCUUAACUCUCAACUGGUAGUAACCGGACCUCAAAUCGAUCUUUGAAAACACUAUUGCCCCCUUUAACUGAUCGAAUAAAUCAUCAAUCCUCGGUAACGGGUACUUGUUCUUUAUAGUCACCUUAUUGAGCUGAUGGUAAUCAAUGCAAAGUCUCAUUGAGCCAUCCUUCUUCUUUACAAACAAUACAGGAGCACCCUAGGGAGAGAAACUCGGUCUAACGAAUCCUUUAUCUAUUAACUCUUGCAACUGAGCCUUCAAUUCUUUUAAUUCAAUCAGAGCCAUUCUAUAUGGAGUAAUCAAGAUCGGUACAGUCCCCAGCAACAAAUCAAUGGCAGACUCUAUCUCUCUGUCUGGAGGCAACCCUGGCAAUUCCUCUGGGAAUACAUCUGGAAAUUCACAGACUAUCGGCACUGAUUCAAGCUUCAAUUUAGACAUCUCAGUAUUCAUUACAUAGGCAAGAUAAGCUUAACACCCUUUCCUCAUGUAUUUCUGAGCAGACAUGCACGAAAUCACCAUAGGUAAUUUAUUUGAUUCAUCUGUUUCAACCCACAGAAUUUCACCAUUUUCACAUUUCAACUCUAGUGUUUUCUGUUUACAAUUUACCUUAGCAUCAUACAAUGUCAACCAGUCCAUUCCUAAGAUAAUGUCAAACUCAUCAAAUGGUAACAGCAUCAGGUUAGCCAGAAAACAGUGACCUUUAAUCAUUAAUGGGCAAUUCUUGCAAACCUUAUCAAUUAGCACAUAUUGGCCUAAGGGGUUCGACACUUUAAUCGUAAACUCAGUAUAUUCAAUAGGCAACUUCUUAUUAGAUAUUAAAUUCACACAAAUAUAGGAAUGAGUAGACCCGGGAUCAAUCAAUGAAAUAACAAUAGUAUCAUAGAGAGAAAAUUUACCAGUAAUGACAUCGGGAGAUGAUGCAUCCUCUCGGGCACGUAUGGCAUAAGCUCUAGCAGGCGCUCUAGCUUUUGAUCUUACCGCUGAAUCUUUCAUCACAGUUUUACUGCUAGCCCCACCUCCAGUAUUUCUCGGUAGUCUACCUCUACUAGCGGUAGUACUCUGUCUAGCACUCUGAAAUUUUUCUUCUUUAACUUUCUCCGGACAGUCUCUGAUAAAAUGUUCGCGAGAACCACACCUGAAACAAGCUCGCUAGUUUCCCCAACACUCACCAAAAUGUUUCCUGCCACAUUGCUGACAUUCGGGCUUUCUAGGCCGUACAUUACCCACACUUUCCAUUGAAGUUGCUUGAGCUUUAGACCCUGAAUAUGCCUUACCACGAUCUCUGUGUGAGUCCCCAGCUGAGACUGUCAUUCGAGGGUUUGUCUCUUUGGGCCUCUUUGAUUGAGAUUGAAAUGACUUGCUUAUCGGCCUCUUUCUGGCAUCGCGAGCCUCAAUAGCAGCUUUUCUUCUUUCUUUGUUCCAUUCUUCGGCUUUAAGAGCUCGAUCAACCAAUACUACAAAUUUUUCAGCUCCAAAAUUCCCACAAGCACUUUAAUGUCCUCAUUUAGCCCAUCCUCAAAUCUCUUGCACAUAAUAGCUUCGGUGGACACACAUUCCUAGGCAUACUUGCUGAGUCUUACAAAUUUGCGUUCAUACUCUGCCACAGACAUCUUGCCCUGCUUCAAUUCAAGGAACUCCUUCUGUUUUUUAUCAAUAAAUCGUUGACUUAUGUAUUUCUUUUUGAAUUCUUCCUGGAAGAAAUCCCAAGUAACCUUUUCUUUUGGCACCACUGCUACCAAAGUCUUCCACCAAUGGUAGGUCGAAUCUCUCAAAAGUGAUACAGCACACUUUAAGCACUCCUCGGGUGUACAUGAAAGCUCAUCAAAUACACAGAUAGAAUUUUCAAGCCAGAACUCCGCCUUCUCGGGAUCAUCAUCGAUCUUUGCUCUAAACCUUCAGCCCCUUGUUUUCGAAUCUUGUCAACCGGAAGCUUGUUCAUUCUUACCAAAUCUAUGCCUUGAGCAGCUAUAGGAACCGUUUGAGGUAUGGGAGGGGGUGGAGGAGGUUGAGCAUUUGGGUUUGCUCAAAUAAACUCAGUAUACCAAUUGUUCAUCAUUUAGAGAAAGGCAUCCCGAACCUCAUCUCCCUGUCUCAAUGUCUCAGGUCUACUUUCUACAGGCGCGGUCCCUUGUGCGGGAGCUGGCGUAUUACUAGCAGCAUCAUCGCCGCAGUUCCGUCAGGAUCCAUUACUAUAUUAAAACAAAACACAGUUUAGAAUAAUCAGGAGUCACCACACUAUCACAGUAUAUUUAUGGCAUGCAUAGCUUGACUUUUACACACACUUUAUUAGUUCGAGAACCGACUAAACUAUAGCUCUGAUACCACUAAAUGUAACACCCCUUACUCGUAUCCGUUACUGGAACAGGGUACAAGGUAUUACCGAAUCAUAGUACAUACCAUUAAAUAAAACCAAGACAAAAAUAUGGCAUACAAUUAGAUCAUGAAUCAUUAUAACAUAUGCCUUUAAUAAUAUUAGCCAAUUUCAAAGGCUUCGUACAAAAUAAUCGGUCAAAUACUAUACUUAAUAUUUUAAAACCUAGACAAUUAUGACACGUAACAAAAUAACUAAGUCUACUAUACAUGCCAUAAUUCAAAAUGUUUAGUUCAAUUACCCAAAAAUAUUGAUAGUGCAGGCAGAUCUUCAACGAUCCUUGACUCCUGUGCAAGCUGGACGACACUAUAAGACAAAAGAGAGAAAAGAAGGUAAGCUUAUAGCUUAGUAAGCAAGUAUGUAAAUAAUGAAUAAAGAAUUUAAUAUGUUUACACAAUAACUCAAGUGUAUCUACUUUUAAUUUCACCAUUUACUCCACUUUGGUCAAGCUAUCUUACUGUGUCACACUCACUAAAUAAAUCAUAACUCGAGUUACAAAACUAGAAAUUCAAAUCCGUAAAAGUUUCCUGAAACUAGACUCAUUUUACUUCUUACUAAUUGUUUUCUAGAAUUUUUGGUCCGGCAAAUUAGUACAGUUUAUUAGUUAAAAUUUCCCCUGUUAUACAGCUCAACUGAUCUGACCUCUUUUCACUACGAAUUGAAUUUCUCCCAGUACACAAUUCAAAUAGCCAUGAAAUUUGUUUCAUUUAAAACUAAGUGCAAUAAAGAAUCUAGAAAUAUAAACUAUAUUUCUUAAUUAGUUUUGUAAAAUUUUUAAUCAUUUUUCAGAGUUGGAACAGGGGACCACAUAGUCAUUCUGAGCAAGUCACACUUAAAUAUAAAUAUCUCAAAAUAUAGAGUUCCUUUACUUUCUCUGUUUCUUUUACAUGAAAAUAGACUCAUUAAGCUUUAAAUUCAUAUCUCAUUCAGCCUUUAAUUAAAUUCCUACUAUUUUUGGUGAGUUUUCAAAUUCACAUCACUACAACUGCCCAAAAUAGUAUUAUUGCUAAUUCACUCUUUUGUAUUUACCUCAUUUAGCCUACAUAUCACAAUUCACUUUCACCACAUUUCAUACAUCACAAGUGUAGGUUCAUGAUUACAAUGUCACUAUAAAAUUAUCCCGUUGAACAAUUCGGAUCAAUCCUCGAUACUUGGUGGUUUCAGCACACAGCUCCGCCAUCAUAUUUCAUAUAAUUCGGCUCUCUUUUACACAUGGUGAACACUUAGUACCACCCAUGUGACCUAGCCAAUUUAUCUCGUAGCUCUCUUGUCUACAUGGUGUCCUUCACUUGGAAUCACACAUGCGACCUAGCUAAAUUUAUCCUCUCCCGUAGCUCUCUUGUCUACAUGGGAUACAUCCCGUAUCACACAUGUGACCUAGCUACUACAUAGUAUCUCGUAGCUCUCUUGUACACAUGAUGUGCACUCAGCACCAUACAUGUGACCUAGCUACAUUUCAUCUAUAUUAUUCAAUCUUUCCGAAAGUUCAACCGGGAUUUCUCUCACUAUUACUUAUUUCCAUUCUUCCAAUAGUGGAUUUAUGAUUCAAAAUCAACUAAAAUAUAUAAAAUAGGCUGAAAUACAAAAAAGUAAAUGAAGUUAAUGUAUUAUUUACAUACAAACUUAUCUCACUGCAAAAUAUGAAAAUUUUGCAAUUUAGUCCAAAACCUUUUCCUUCCCCCGUUCGAGGUCGAUUCCACGCCUUUCUUGAUCUAUAACAACACAUUUAGCUCAUUUAACACUCAUACUAUUUAUUUCAAUCCAAAAAUCACAUUAUGAAAAAUUACAUUUUUGCCCCCUAACUUUUACAAAAUUAUGAUUUUGCCCCUAGGCUCGAAAAUUUAAUUUCAGCCCUUAUUCUUAUGUUUUAUGACAUGCUGAACAUUUUUCUCUUCUAUAACAACAUAAAAUUCUCACUCUAACAUGUACUUAUGAGCAUUAGCUAUUUUUACCGAUUAUACUGUUUUGCUUGUUUUCGCUAAAAAUCGCUUAGAAAAGAUCGUUCUCCUAACCUCAAACAUUCAUAUUCUACCAUCAAACAUCAAAAUACAUGCAUAUCAUUCAUGGGUAAAUUUUUAAACAUAAACCCUAACUCAAAAUAAUGGUAGAAAUAGGUAAACCGAGCUACGAGGAUUUCAAAAAUGUAAAGAACAUUAAAAACAGGGCUUGAAUGCGCUUACUAUUGAGCUUGAAAGCUUGGAAAAACCCUAGCUAUGGUGUCUAUGAGAGUUUCGGCCAACUUGAUGAAGAUGAUACUAAAUUUUGGCUUUGUUUUCCCAUUUUAUUAUUUUAUUUACCAAAUGACUAAAUUACCCUUCAUUAAAAACUAUGAUGUUUUAUCUUCCUUUAGGUAUUUUUGUCCAAACUAGUAUAAUGGUCUAAUUACUAUACAAGGACCUCCACUUUAAAAACCCAUUACUCACAAGUACUUAGUACCUUUGUGAACUAGAACACACAUUUUUCAACUUUUGCAAUUUAGUCCUAAAUAUUAAAUUGGACCUUCUAUCGAUAAAAUUUCUAAACAAAAUUUUCACACAGUCAUGAAAUCAUGCCAUAGACCUUAAAAUGAUAAUAAAACUAUUAUUUCUAUCUCAGAUUUUUGGUUUCAAAACCACUAUUCCAUUUUGGUUCUAAAUCGGGCUGUUACACAGGUUCAGUUGGUGCAAGAAUAUGGUUCACUUCUUCUCUUUCCUGGUCAGAUUCAAUGUUCAUCGAUUCUAUCUUCUCUUCAUCACCCUCUGGUCUUUUUGUUCCUUCUCCUCAGUAGCAAUGUAUGUGGUAGGUCCACGCACAUCAGCUUCAGCUGUAACCUUGUCCCAUCAUUUUCAUCUGAUAGCAGCUCCUUUUCAUUGGGUGCAAAUCCUCCUUUUCUUUAUCAGAAUUGUGAUCUCAUUAAUAAGGGUAUAAAUUAUAAAUGAAAAUAACGUUAAACAAUUAAAUAUAAAAAUAAUAAUAUUUAAAUUAAAGUAAAGCAAUUAAAGAAAAGAAAUAUAGAAAAGAUAUUUUUUACGCUUUUUCUAAUUGCGCAGCAAUUUGGAGUUGCUAAGUCUCAAAGAGAUUGAGGUGCUUCUACAACUGACCGAGGGAGUUGAGCAUUUACUACUCAAAUGAAUAGUUGGAGAUAGAAGAUUUUGCUAAGCCAAACGUCUUGCAAACUUUUCUUCCACUACCGUUUCUAACAAACCAAUGGCUUGGCAAUCUUCACUCUUAUCAACAUAUUUUACGGCAUCGAAUAUGUUGAAUGUAACCUACUAAUCAUUCACCCUCAUCAUCAGUGUGCCUUUCUGUACAUCAAUUAGCUAAUGAACGAGUAGAGGUGGUCAUCCUUCAAGGUCCUGGUAUUGUUUUUUUGUGGCAUUUUUGUUGCCAACAUGAUCUGAUUCUACCAUAACAUUUUUCUACUGAUUAUUUUUAGAUGUUGUAUGCUUUUAACUUUUCAUGGUUGAGUCUUGAGUCGUCUACUUCUAUCAUGGCAUCUUUAACAGCAUCAUUCAACUGAGUUCCACUUCUGAGAGUGAUUUCUUUGCAAUGCUCUUUUCCUUAUGAUCUCAAAUUCUCAAUAUCACUUAGUAAAGCUCCUUGUUGUUUGGAACUUAAUGCAAUGGAAAUUUGUCCCACUUGAUUCUCCAAAGGUCUUAAGAAAGCUAUUUGGAUCUGAAUAAUCUCAUCAUUCUUAGCCAUAUGCUCCUUUAAUAAAGCUUCCAUAGUUGAUGUUGAAGAUGACAAACUUUGUUACACAUUUUGCCAUGGCAUUGGUUAAAAAUAUCUAGGUGGUACACCAGCCAUAUUUGGUCAAUUAACAUUGCUAGCAUUUCCCAUUCCUUAAUUACUCCAACUAAAAUUUGGAUGUUAUUUCUACCCUGGAUUGUAUGUGUUGCAGUAGGGAUUGUUGUUGCCACUAUAAUAGCCCGUUUUUGGUUAAAUCGAAACAGUGGUUUUGGAACCAAAAAUCUAAAGUGAAAAUAUUUAUUUUAUUAAUUUUUUAAUGUUUACAGCACGAUUGAAUGAUUGUGUGAAUGUUUCAUUAAGAAAUUUCAUCGUUUGGUUAGUCAAUUUGGUAAAAUGGUCUAAAUAGCGUAAAGUGCAAAAGUGGAGUUCUAUUAGCUAAAAGUAUCUAAUAGCUAUAGAACCUAAAAGUAAAGGUCCUUAUGUUGUAGUUAGACCAUUAAUGACAUAAGUGGACAUAAAUGGACAUAUAUUAAGGUGUUUUAAAUGGUUUAUAAUAAGGUUAAUUAAGUAAUUUAAAAAUUUAAGUUAAAAUAAGUAGUUAAAAUAAGUAAAAUAAAACAAAGUAUCAUCUUUGUUUCUUCUUGUUUCAACUGAAACUAGGGCUAAAGAAACACCAUUGUUGUGUUCUUCAUUUGGCCAAGCUUGAAUAGCUAAUUAAGGUACGAUUUUUUUCCUAUUUUUAAUUAUUUCUAUGUUUCUGAGAUCGUUGCAACUAAGUCUAGCUAGCCCAGGGACUAAUUUGCAAAACUGUUAAAGAUUUUGAAUGUUGCUAUUGAUGAAUAAGCAUGUAUUUUGAAGAUUUUUGAUAGAUUAUGAAUGCCUGUUGAUAGAUAUACAAGUUUUGUUAAGUGAUUUUUAGUGAAAAUGUAAAAUAGGGAUUAAAUUGGGAAAUGUGUAAAGUUCAUCGUUAAAAUAUGAAAUAAAUGAAAAACAUGGGCUGCUAGGGGCAUUAUGGUAAUUCGAUUCGGCCAGCAUGGGUUUAUUUUGAAUUUAUUUAAUUUGUGAUUUUAUGAAAUAAGGACUAAAAUAUGAAAAAUGUGAAAUAUUGGGGCAAGACAAAAUUGAAUAGAGAGAUGAUUAAAUGUAAAAUCCCAAAAUUAGGCCUAGUCAGAGUAGUGGUUUCAGAACCACAAAUUCGCCAUUAAAAUAUUUAUUUUAUGCUUAUUAUGAGGCCUAAGGUAUGAAAAUAAGCAUAUGUUAAAGUUUCAUGAAGAAAUUCUAAAUAUUGGGUGUCCAAUUGGAAAUUAGGGACCAAAUUGAAUAAAUUAAAAACUUAGGUUCUUGAAGAAAUUUGUAUGAAAUUUCUUUGAAUUAUUAAUUAGAAUGUUUUAAAGAGUAAUUUUCCCAAUUUCUAAGUUUUUGGACAAAAAUGGGCAUGCAUGGAAAACUUUGAAAGGUUAUUAAGGAAUGGCAUUUUGGUCAUUUGGUAAUAAACAAAAUAAAAAGGGGAAAUGAAAGCAAAAAUCAGUCAUUUUUCUUCUCCAUGCUGGCGCAAAUUUAAGGGUCUCCAUAGCUAGGGUUUUCAACAUUUCCAAGCUCAAUAACCCCGAGAAACCAAUUUCAGAAGUCGACCGUGGAAAAUGAAAGGUUUCAGAAUAACCAAAAUAUGAACCCGAAGUAAUUACCGGUAAGUUUGAGUAACUCGAAGUAAACUCUUAAUACAAACAAAAUUUAUAUAUUUGAAUGUGUGACAAUUUAGAUAUUCAUUGCAUGAUAAUCCAUGAAAUGUGGUAGUAUAGGUUGAAAGAGCAUUGAAAUUUCCCAAUUGAAAUAAAAGGACAUCCGAUGGAUUUCUCAAAAUGAAUUGACGGUAAAAAGGAUCUAGCCCGGAUGGGUGUUCCUCUAGUGAUCGACCCUCUCGGAGAAUAAGCGUGCUGAAAUGGAUUUAGCCCGGACGGGUAAUCCGAUUAAGGUCUAAAUUUAGCCUGGACUGGCAAUUCAGAUACGAGUUCAUUAGAGUACAUGUCAUUGUAAGGGAUUUAGCUUGAACUGGUAAUCCCGACAUUACUCUAUGAGUUUACAUUUCGAAGGAUUUAGCCUGAACUUGUAAUUCUGCCGUAAGAGUGAGGUUCACGGGAGUGCGUAUUUAAAAUGAUCACUCACACAAUUUGACGGUAAAUGAGAUAUCCAUCGAGAUUCCGAGAAGUUAAAUGGGAUUAAAAUGAGGAAUGAAAAUAGAAAUGCUUGAAACGAUGAGCUCAUCCAAGAUAAAUGUUUAAUUGUAUGGACAUGAAACUAAAAUGAUGAGUGAGUGUAUGUGAUAGGAAAUUAUACUAUGCAUGUUGGCAUGACUAACUAAUAUGGUUGUAUGCAAAACACCCGAUAAGUUUACCUUCUUGUUAUCCAAACUUACUAAGCAUGUAAAUGCUUACCCCCUAUCAUUUCCCUUGUAUUACAGAGCUCGAGGACUCAUGAAGAUUGGAAGAUGGUUGGAGCAUUGUCAACACUAUCAACUUAUUUUGCCUUGGUAUAUAGAAACUUUUAUUUUGUUAUAAUGGCGUGUAUAGGAUUCUUGGUCAUUUUUUUAUAUGUGUCAUUUGGCUAGCCAAUGUAAGGGCUUAAAUGGUAGACUUAUUCAUUUUGUAAAUGGCCAUGGGAUAUGGCUCAUUUUCAGGUAGGUUGUAAACCCACUAAUUAUGUAUGCUAUGCUUAAAUGUUUCUUGUGAGGGUUAAAUGUGGUAUAUCAUGAAUGGACAAGUGAAAUGUGACCAAAUCACUUGGAGAUGGUUAAGUCAUAAUUGGCAAUGAGUUAUAAAAUGAGCCAAGUAUAAAAUAUAAUUAUUGGAGUGGUAACCCUUAAUACGAAAAGGAUAACCUAGUAUGUGCUAAACCAAUGAGAUGAGGUUAACAUGCAAUAGACUAUGCCAAGGUGGGUUAUGGACAUAUUUAGGCCAUGUUACAUACCGUUGAAGUUUAUAAGUGUGUAUAGAUGCCUGAGGGUGACCAAAGGCUUGGAAUAUAGUUUACAAAAGGGUCCACACGGGUAUACACAUGGGCAUGUGUCUAGGCCGUGUGUGACACACGGUCAGCCCCAUAAGCGUGUUGUAAGGCCGUGUGUCCCCUGCACCUAAAAUUUUAGGUCAGUAUGUAUGGUAGUAAACACACGGGUAGAGACACGGUCGUGUGUCUGAACCAUGUGUAGGACACAGCCUAGCACAUGGGCAUGUGCCUUGGCCGUAUGCCCCUAAAUGGAUGAUGACAUCAUAAACAGAAUGUCCAAGUUUUUGGACACGGGGGAUAACACGGGUGUGUCUAGGCCGUGUAAGGUACAUAGGCCAGGGACACGGGAGUGUCCUUGGUAGUUUCAAAACCCCUGUAGGUUCGAAAUGAAAAAUAAAUUCCAAUAAUUCAACACGGGUAAGGGAUACGGGUGUGUUCCCAAGCACACUGGCGUGUGCAUUGCUUCCACAUGGGCGUGAGAGGCUUAACCCUAGGAAUUUUUAUAAAAUUUUCUUAAGUUCUCAAUUUUGUCCUGGAUCGCUUUUAAUAUAUGAUUUGAACCUUAUAGGUUCAUAAUGGGAACAAUAUGAUUUUGUUUGAUCGGUUUUAAAUUGAAAUAAAAUUUUAUAGCCCGUAUUUUUCGAAAGUGUCCUGUUUGUGUUUGGUAAUGCCUCGUACCUUGUCCCGGUCUCGGGUAUGGAUAAGGGGUGUUACAUUUAGUGGUAUCAGAGCUAUAGUUUAGUCAAUUCUUGGACUAAUGUAGCAUGUAUUGAGUCUAGCUAUAAUGCCAUUAUGCAAGUUAUGAUAGUGUGGCAUCUCCUAACCCUUUUAAAUUGUAUUUGAAUAUAGUAAAUGCCUUCCGAUCAAGCUCAGGAUAAAUUUGAGAGAGCCGAGAGCCAUGCUCCAGCUUCCGUACAACAAGCUACUUCUAGUAGUAGAAGGCCUAUGUUUGAGGGUCGGGAAGAGGCAAAGGCUGCCUUUUUCAAAAUGAUGGAUGAGCGGUUUGGGGAUUACCUGAGAAAUCGCUCUAAUAUACCACAACCUCCUUCACACCUAGCUCGACCGGAAGAGGAAGUGCCAUAAGGUAUGGCACCAGUGAGAAUUGGUAAGGCUCCAAUAGAUAAACUUAGAAAAUAUAAAGUCGAAGAGUUUAGGGCCACGAUUGAUGACGAUCCUGAACAUGCUGAAUUUUGGCUUGAGAAUACCAUGCUGGUUUUCAACAAACUAUUGUGUACUCCUGAGGAGAGUUUGAAAUGCACAGUGUCACUAUUGAAGGACAUUGCAUGCCACUGGUGGAAGACUAUAUCCUCAGUGGCACCGAGAGAGAGUAUCACGUGGGAAUUUUUCCAAGCUAAGUUUAAAAAGAAGUACAUCAGUCAGAGGUUCUUAGAUCAGAAGUGAUGGAGUUCCUAGAACUCAAACAAGGAAAUAGAACCAUGUCAGAAUACGAAAGAGAAUUUGCAAUGUUAAGUCAGUAUGCAAAUGAAUGGGUUCAAACAGAAGCACUUCGAGAAAGGUCUGAAUGAAGAAAUUAAGUUGUUAGUCGGGAUCCUCGAGAUACAAAAAUUUGCUAUAUGAGCUGAUCGGGCCAAGAAGGCCAAAGAGCUUAAUAAUGAAAGAAAACAAGCGAAGAGAGAAGCUCAAGUUUCAAAUAGAAGAUCCAGCGGUAAGACGCACUCAUUCCCCAUGAAGAAAUCGAGAGGUCAAUAAGAACGCUCCACUACAUCGGUGAGAUACUCGGGUAGGACAAGGAGUUCUAAGCGUCACAACCCGAAGUCUUCUUCCCUAUGGUGACUAGUGUGAGAAGUGUAGAUGAUCAAAAGCCAAGGUGUAAAAGUUGCAACAAGUUUCAUUUCGAAGAACACCGAAUGAGGAGCGGAGCAUGCUAUAGAUGUGGUUCUCUUGACCACUUCCUUAGAGAUCGCUUAGAGCGAGCUGAUAAAGGGGUUGAAUUAGCUGUGAAGCCGAAUGCUCCUGUUUCCCGAGGUAGACCUCUACGACAUCCUGGAAGUGCAAGUGGUAGCCAAAUUGUGGCCAAGGAUACUACUACAAAAUCAGAGGCUCGAGCCCCAGCGAGAACUUACGCAAUAUGCACUAGAGAGGAAGCCUUAGCUCCUAAUGUCAUUACGGGUAUAUUUUCUAUCUAUGAUGCUCAUGUUAUUGCCUUGAUUGACCCGGGAUUGACCCAUUCAUACAUUUGCAUGAAAUUGGUGUCUAGCAUGAAUAUGUCUGUAGAACCAAUGGAAUUUGUGAUUAAGGUGUCGAACCUUCUGGGCAAGUCUAUUUUAGUUGAUAAAGUUUGUAAGAACUGUCCUUUGACGAUUCAAGGUCAUUGUUUUUCGGUUAACCUUAUGCUUUUGCCUUUCGAUGAGUUUGAUGUAAUACUAGGCAUGGAUUGGUUGAACAUUCAUGAUGUGAUAGUAAAUUAUGGUAGCAAGUAUAUUGUAUUGAAAUGUUCAGAUGGCGAAGUUCUCCGGGUUGACCCAAGUAAGUUGAAUACACCACUAGUUGUGAUUACCUCAUUGAGGGCUCAAAAGUAUAUGAGAAAAGGGUAUGAAGCUUACCUUGGAUUUGUACUGUAUACUAAAGAAUCAAAAUUGAAGAUUGAGUCGGUACCAAUAGUGCGUAAAUAUCCGAAUGUUUUUCCAGAAGAGUUGCUUGGUUUGCCUCUUGUUAGAGAAGUAGAGUUUGGUAUUGAGCUAGUGCCAAGAAGAACACCUAUUUCUAUUACCCCAUAUAGGAUGGCACCAACUGAGUUGAAAGAGUUAAAAGCACAGUUGCAAGAACUGAUGGAUAAGGGUUUCGCAAAACCAAGCUUUUGGCUUUGGGGUGCUCCCGUAUUAUUUGUAAAAAAGAAAGAUGGUUCGAUAAGAUUAUGUAUAGAUUACCUCCAACUCAACAAGGUAACUAUUAAUAAUAAGUACCCAUUGCCAAGAAUUGACAACCUGUUCAAUCAGUUGAGGGGAGCCACUAUGUUUUCUGAAAUAGAUCUGAGAUCCGGCUACUAUCAGCUGCUAGUUAAAGAGUCGGAUGUGCCUAAGACCGCUUUCAGAAUGAGGUAUGGUCAUUAUGAAUUUCUUGUGAUGCCUUUUGGGUUGAAUAAUGGACCGAUUAUGUUUAUGGACUUGACAAAUAGGAUAUUUCAGCCAUACUUAGACAAAUUUGUUGUUGUGUUUAUUGAUGAUAUCCUGAUUUAUUCCAAGGAUAAGACCGAACAUGCCGAGCAUUUGAGGACUGUCUUAUAGAAUGUGCGAGAUAAGAACUAUAUGAUAAGUUUAGAAAAAGUGGAUUUUGGCUCCGAGAGGUAGGAUUCUUGAGUCACAUUAUUUUAGGUGAAGGCAUCUGAGUUGAUCCAAGUAAGAUAUCUGCUAUUGUCGAGUGGAAGCCACUGAAGAAUGUAACCGAGGUUAGAAGCUUUUGGCCUUAGCCAACUACUAUCGAUGCCUUGUAAAGGAAUUCUCUAUGAUUGCAACUCCUUUGACGAGGUUGCUGCAAAAAGACGUUAAGUUUGUAUGGUCAGAGAAGUGUCAGCAGAGUUUCGAGAAAUUAAAUACGUCGCUGAUUGAAGCUCCAGUUUUAGUGCAACCUGAACUGGGAAAAGAAUUCAUGGUCUACAGUGAUGCAUCCUUGAAUGGGCUGGAUUGCGUGCUUAUGCAAGAGGGCAAAGUAGUAGCCUAUGCUUCGAGGCAACUGAAGUGUAACACCCCAAACCCGGCCCAGACGUUAUGGCCAAAUCUGACGUGUCACAUGGACUUACGACUUAGUAUGCAUUCAUUGGUUUAAGUGAUUGGGGUGGUCUUUAUAAAAAUAGCGGUUGAAUGAAAAGCCGGUUUAUCAGUCUUUAGGCUAUCCAUUUGUUUGCUUGUUGAGUCUUGGAAACGUUCAUUAAUUUUGAAAACCCGCGCAGCCUAAUACUAGCAGUUUCGACAUAGUAUAAAUAAAAUCAAAAAAUAAAACCAUAGCGGAAAAAUAAAUUUAAAUAGCGACCUUAUUAAAACUUAAAACCCAAAAUUAAAUUAGAAUAUAAAAAUAAUAAAAAUAAACUAACUUAGAAAAACCAACGAUGAUGUGGCCACUCCGAAUACCUCACAGCUCCAAGCCCACUAUGGUUGGGGAUUUCCUGUAGAGAUGAAAAUAAAGGGUGAUUUCGAUAAACUCAGUGUGUAACAUAACCCAACCAUAGCCCAAAACAGAUCAAACCUCAGAGUCAGACUUAUCUGGGCCUUGGCCCAGUACAAAAAUCAGAAUCAAACCCAUAGGCCCAUAGCAGAUACAGAACAAAUAUAUCAUGAAUGCAGAAAUCCCAACCCAGAGCCAUCCAUAACACCCCCGUACCAGUCUUACACCAUGUGGGGAGACUACUCGACCCACUCAACCGCUACACACCACAAAAAUUGUAGCGAAGCUGCCAGAUAUUGUGACGAAGUCACCAGAUACAGAUAUUGUGGCUAGGCCACCAGAACAGAUAUAUAUGUGGCGAAGCCACCAGAUUGCAGCAAGGCUGCCAGAUAUUGUGACGAAGUCACUAGAACAGAUAUAUGUGUCGAGGCCACCAAAUUGCAGCGAGGAUGCCAGAACGCUUCCUCCAUCAAUAUAAACCCAUGUCCCAUGCAACAGAAAUAAUAUAUCAUGGCAUACGUAUACAGAAACAGAACAUUAUGCUUUUUAGAAAAAAAAUAAUCCUAGGGGUAAAAUCGUAAUUUUGCAUGCAUAAGGGUAUUUCUGUAAUUAUAACCUAUUGCUAAGGUUUCAUGCUUAUUCUAACGUUUAUCAAGUAAUUAGAAGAACUUACCUCGUCUUUUUACCAAAGUGGGCCCGUUGGCCCAUUGGCCCGUUUUUGGCCCAUUAAGCCCAAAAAUACCGUUGUACACCAAAAUGCACACUCUGCACUCUAAUCAUCCAAAUGCACCAUAUUCAUUAACAACUGUCUCACGAGCGCUCGCACGCUCGCGAGUUCACAAAAUACCAACGUUUCGGUAUUUCAGCUUUUACCGAUUCAGUAUAAGGGAGGGUGUCGUUUACACACCUGGUUGAUGACGAUAUCUCCCACGCGAUAAUCCUACAAUCGAUUACUAACACAUUAGACAUACAAAUUAACGAUAACUAACAUAAAUCCAUGUCAACUAAACCAAUCAUCACACAAGUUAGUCAUUUACGCACGAGGGGCAAAAUAGUCAUUUUACCCUCCAGGGGUAAAUCAGUAGUCCUACCCUAUAAGGGUAUUUUAGUAAUUCUACAACUUAUCCACUUGGGCCUACGGACUCAUUGGGACCACAUGGCCCAUUUCAGCCCAUCGCGGCCCGAAAUAGUCGUCCUACUGCUAGAGUAAUGAGAAAUACACACCUGUUACGAGACUGCAGUUAAUCCGCGAUCCAAACACUCUUAGCUGACGCCCAACCCAAACGAGCACGUCACAAAGCGAAAGGGAUCAGCCAAGAAGGGUAUGCCUACUCUUCUCAUGGUUUGCUCUAUUUAAACCCAGCUCUCCAUCUACUCUUAUGUUAGCUUCCCGAGGUGGGAUCCCUCCAUCACCAGAGUUUAAAACCAACACCAACUCUUGCCGUCCCAACAUAGCAAAAUAAUCAACCUUUGCGUGCCAAGGGAUUCGAACCAAAGUCCUUUUACAUGCCAACUCACGCCACCACCACUAGGCCAUCAACUUAUUUGUGUCAUAAACCCAACACAUUAAACUAUAAAACGCACCUACUUGCUUCCAGAUUUAUUGAAAAGAAAAACCAAAAUAUAUUGCAAGAGUCAAGACUUGAACCUUGGACCCCUUGCUUCUUCUAUGGCGUCACUUCCUUGUCCCCUAAGUGGCGCCACCUUGCCACUACACCACACUCUUUUUUUGUGUCAUCUUUUACCCCUUUACUCUUAAAAGCUCAAAUGCCAAUUGCAUCACUUGUUCAUAAAAUUAAAAUUCCGAAGACUACCACAGAUUUAACUUAAGUUUGGGCCUUCCAAAGGCCUACUAACCUACUAAAAUAUAUAUUUUAACUAAGCAGAACACACACAAAUUUUAAAAAUCAUAGAAACACAGAAAACCCGAAAAUUGGGGCGUUACAACUCUACCCUCCUUAAAGAAAUUUCGUCCUCAAAAUUUUACCUAAAUCAAAGAGAUGAGGAUAUUGUUGACGCAUCGCCACUUCUGGCUCCCAAGUAGCUUCCUCUUUGCCAUGAUUACGCCACAGCACCUUUACUAGCAGAACUAAUUUCCUCUUCAAAAUCUGAACAUCUCGAUCCAAAAAUCUGCACAGGCUCUUCCUCAAAACUCAAGUCUGUUUGGACCUCGAUCUCUGCAACCGGCACAACAUGAGUAGGGUCAGAAUGAUACCAUCUUAACAUGGAGAUGUGAAAGACAUCAUGAAUCCUAUCCAAUUCUGGAGGUAGCUCCAACUGAUAAGCCACUAGACCCACUCGCUUAAGAAUCCAAUAAGGCCCAAUGAACCGCGGACUUAACUUGCCUUUCCUCCCAAACCUUAAUAUUUCCUUUUAAGGUGAAACCUUCAAGAAGACCAUAUCACCCUCAGAGUACUCAAUUUCCUUGCGCUUCAAAUCUGCAUGUGACUUCUGUCUAUCAGAUGCUUCCUUCAACCUGUCUCUAAUCAACUUGACCUUAUCCUCAGUAUCUGCCACCAACUUAGGUCCAAGAACCUGUCGUUCACCCAACUCGGUCCAACAACUAGGUGUACGACAUCUUCGUCCAUACAGUGCCUCAUAAGGAGCCAUUUGAAUACUUGUCUGAUAACUGUUGUUGUAUGCAAACUCUGCCAACGGUAAGUAAUCCUCCCAACUGCCUCGAAAGUCGAUAACGCAUCCCCUCAACAUGUCUUCCAGAAUCUGAAUAACCCUUUCCGAUUGACCAUCAGUCUGAGGAUAAAAGGUUGUACUAAAUUGCAACCGCAUACCCAACGCCUCAUGCAACUUUUGCCAAAAUCGAGAUGUGAAUCUAGGAUCUCGAUCAGAAAUAAUUGACACUGGCACUCCGUGAAGUCGUACUAUUUCUGCCACAUACAAUUUGGCUAACUUCUGAAGUGAAUAAUCAGUGCGGACAGGUAUGAAAUGAGAAGAUUUGGUCAACCUAUCCAUAAUUACCCAAAUCGAGUCCUUCUUCGACGGUGUCAAGGGUAACCCACUCACAAAAUCCAUGGUUACCCUCUCCCACUUCCAAAGUGGUACUUUCACUGGCUGCAAAAGUCCGAAAGGUAAUUGAUGUUCAGCUUUCACUUGCUGACAAGUCAGACAUUUUCCCACAACUUCCGUUACCUCUCGCUUCAAUCCUGGCCACCAAUACAACUCCUUUAAGUCGCGAUACAUUUUACUCCCUCCAGGAUGCAUAGCACACAGACCUCCAUGAGCUUCUUUCAGAAUUGCUUGCCUCAAGUCAGAGUCCUUCAGAAUACAAACUCUACCUCGGUAACACAGAACUCCCUUACUGUUCAGUCUGAACUCAGAAGUAUCCCCAUUCUUAACCUGCCGGAAUCGAGAAACCAGGGACUCAUCCUUUGACUAUUUUUCCUUAAUCUCAUCCACCCAGGUCGGCCUAACUUGUAGUUCUGCUAACAGACUACCAUCGUCAUACAGACUCAAAUGAGCAAACAUGGCUCUCAGAUCAGAUACAGUUCUACGACUUAGGGCAUCAGCCACCACAUUAGCUUUGCUUGGGUGAUACUCAAUCAUGCAGUCAUAAUCCUUAAGCCACUCUAUCCAUCUCCACUGCCUAAGGUUCAGCUCCUUCUGAGUCAGCAAGUACUUAAAAGUCUUAUGAUCUGUGUAUAUAAUACACCUUUCUCCGUACAGGUAAUGUCUCCAAAUCUUAAGCGUAAAAAUUACCGCUGCCAACUCCAGAUCAUGAGUAGGAUAGUUAACUUCAUGUGGUUUAAGCUGUCGCAAUGCAUAAGCAACCACUUUAUCCUCUUGCAUCAGCACACAGCCCAACCCUACAUGUGAUACAUCACUGCAUAUGGUAAAAUCUUUUCCAGACUCCGGCUAAAUUAGUAUAGGUGCUCGGUCAGAACUUUCUUCAGCUUCUCAAAAGAUUCCUGUUGUUUCUCAGUCCAAACAAACGGUACUCCCUUCCUUAAAGCUUUGUCAAAGGCACUGCCAUCACAGAAAAUCCUUCCACAAACCUCCUAUAGUACCCAGCUAAACCCAGAAAACUUCGAAUUUUCGACAUUGAACUCAGUGGCUUCCAUUCCAGAAUCGCUUCAAUCUUUUGAGGGCCCACCUUGAUCCCUUCAACAGAGACAACAUGCCCCAAGAAAGUUACCUCUCUCAACCAGAACUCACGCUACUGAUUUUUGCAUAAAACUCCUUCUCCCUCAGCACUUGCAGCACAAUACGAAGAUGCUCAUCAUGCUUCUCCUCAAUUUCAGAAUAAACCAGAAUAUCGUCGAUGAAGACGACCACAAAUCGAUCCAAGUAUGGCUGGAACACUUGAUUCAUCAGAUCCAUAAAUGCCGCAGGUGCAUUCGUUAACCCAAAUGGCAUAACCAAGAACUCAUAGUGACCAUACUGAGUUCUGAAUGCUGUCUUGUGAAUAUCCACCUCCUUAACCCUCAACUGAUGAUACCCAGAUCGAAGGUCAAUCUUGGAAAAUACUGAAGCUCCUCUAUGUUGGUUGAAUAAAUCAUCGAUUCUCGGCAGUGGGUACUUGUUCUUAAUCGUUAGUUUGUUCAACUACCGAUAAUCGAUGCACAUCCGCAUUGACCCAUCUUUCUUCUUUACGAACAACACUGGUGCCUCCCACGGAGACACACUUAGUCUAAUGAAGCCUCUAUCCAAUAACUCUUGAAUUUGGGCUUUCAGCUCCACCAACUCCUUCGGUGCCAUCCUAUAAGGUGCAAUGGACACUGGUUCCAUUCCAGGCAACAAGUCAAUUCCAAACUCAACCUCUCGGUUCGGGGGCAAACCUGGAAGCUCCUCUGGAAAAACAUCUUGAAAAUCCUUGAUGGUUCUAACUUUAUCCACUGUCAGAUCCUCAGUUUUUGAUUGGCUUACAAAUGCCAAAUAAGCCUCACAUCCCUUUCGAAUCCACUUCUUGGCUUUCAAUGCCGACACUACAUUACACAGAUAAUCCCUACGCUCGCCUAUCACCAAAACCUCCUCAUCCUUUGUGGUCUUUAACAUCAUUCGCUUAGCAGCACAAUCCAGAGUAGCCCUAUGCUUAACCAGCCAAUCCAUUCCCAAAAUGAGAUAGAAUUCUCUGAAAGGUAGCUCUAUCAGAUCUCCAGAGAAAACUUUUCCUUGAGUUUCUAUAGGUACAUUUUUAUAGAGUUUAUCUACCCUAACCGAGUGACCCAAAAAACUUAGUACAGAUACCCCACUCACGGUCUCCUCAGAGCGCACACCCAACGACCCAGAUAUAGCACAUGCAACAUAUGAAUGGGUAGAUCCAACAUCUAUCAACGUACCAGUUAUGACGUCAGGUGCAUCACCCUCCUCUCGGCGAUGAGCUGCAUACACCAACACCAGUUGACGAGAGUCAGCAAAUCUAGCACCUCUGCCAGGCGCUCCUCCUCCUUGACCGUUUCCAUUACCACCUCUGCCUUGCCCACGUCCUCUCGGAAAUUGUGGUCCACCCCUCACUGGUUGAGCGACCCUCUACUCUAAAACUUGAACCUGAUCUGGCUCCUGGGGACAAUCUUUAACCUUAUGCUCCAUAGAUAUGCCUCGAAAACAAGCACCAAAACUUUUCCGACACUCGCCCAUAUGCAUCUUCCCACAAUUCCUACAACCCAGUGGUCUAACAGCAUUUAUCGGUACUGCUCGAACUGGCUCCAUUACCCUUGCUCUAUUAACAUUCCUGUUCAUACCACCUGAAAGUCCCGAAUCUCUCCUAAAACGGUUCCGAUCUUUCUCACGAUUCUGUCUUUCUGUAUGCUUCACUUCCUUAGCUAUCUUAGCUUUCUCCACUAAAGCAACAAAGUUACGCUCCCUCUACGGAGCAAUCAGCGCCUUAAGUUCAUCUCUCAGACCAUCCUCGAAGCGUACGAUACGCUCAUACUCUGUAGCGACAAUCCCAGAAGCAUACCAGCUCAGUCUCAGAAACUCAAACUCAUACUCAGCCACUGACUUACUCGCUUGGACCAGGUUCAAAAAUUCUUUCUGGUGAGUUUCCACGUAACUAGCCCCAACAUACUUUCCUUUGAAGGCUGUCUUAAACUGUUUCCAAGUCACACUGUCAGCAGGAGUUCCAUCUCUCAUCGUGAGCCACCACUGAUAAGCCUCAUCCCUGAGUAACGAUAUGGCUCCCUUCAGCUUCUGCACCAUAAAGUAGUCUAGAUCAUCCAUAAUCCGCUCUGUGGCUUCUAACCAAUACUUAGCCACAUUUGGAGCUACACGAGAUACGCCCCUAAAUAUAUCUACUCCAUUGACCCAGAGCCGCUCAGAAAUAGACCCCCAAAUUUCAUUUCCCGUACUUGCCCCAGUAACCCUUUCCAAAACUCGGAGCAUUGCCUGGGACAGAGCAUCGUCCCUGGCACCUCGAUCAUGAGACUUUACCUCCGUUGCCGGUGGUACCGGUGCAUCUGUUGCCAGCACAUGUCUUGGAGACGAAGAUUUAGCCUGAGCAUUUCCUCGGCUACGUCCACGGCCUCUUCCAUGAGUAGCUCGUGUACUCAUUUCGUAUUAUCUGAUUAAGAAUUUUAUGAAUUAGUUAAAUAUUUCAGUGUUUAUUACAAAUGUCUUAUGAAUAACAGUAAUUCAGAGUUUGAGUUUGUUUCCUUUUGCGGUAGCCUAGCUACAGUCUCAGUCUACUUAUCAGAGUUUCUAUAGUUCUAGUGUUACCCUAACUAAAGAACCAUGAUAAGGUUUUGUACAAGCAUAUAACAGAUAUUUCAGAAACAAUCAAAAAGGCUUAGAAAACUUACAGACUUGGGUUAGAGAUUUGGUGUGCCACCUUCUAAAAAAACCUAAUUUUAGAAAAUCGAUUUUAAUCUUUAAAAUCAUCUAUUUGUAAAGAGAAAAUAUUGGAAACAUUCUCGAAAACAAUUUAUAAUCAAGUUUCAUAAAAAAAAUGAUUGUUGAAAAAGUUUAUUCAGUGUUUCUUUACAAACUCCCGUUUUUAGACCCGUUCUACAGCCGAGUUGUUUCAACUUGGCUCUGAUACCACUAAAUAUAACACCCCAAACCCGGCCCAAACGUUAUGGCCAGAUCUGACGUGUCACAUGUACUUAUGACUUAGUAUGCAUUCGUUGCUUUAAGUGAUUAGGGUGGUCUUUAUAAAAACAGCGGUCGAAUGAAAAGCCGAUUUAUCAAUCUUUAGGCUAUCCAUUUGUUGUACUGUUGAGUCUUGGAAACGUUCAUUAAUUUUGAAAUCCCGUGUAGCCUAAUAAUAGCAGUUUCGACAUAGUAUAAAUAUAAUUAGAAAAUAAAACCAUAGCGGAAAAGGAAAUUUAAAUAGUGGCAUUAUUACAACUUAAAACCCAAAAUUAAAUUAGAAUAUAAAAAUAAUAAAAAUAAACUAACUUAGGAAAAACCAACUUUGUAGAUGAUGUGGCCACUCCGAAUCCCUCACAGCUCCAAGCCUACUAUGGUUGGGGAUUUCCUGCAGAGAUGAAACUAAAGGGUGAGUUCGAUAAACUCAGUGUGUAACAUAACCCAACCAUAGCCCAAAACAGAUCAAACCUCAGAGUUAGACUUAUCUAGGCCUUGGCCCAGUACAAAAAUUAGAAUGAAACCCAUAGGCCCAUAGCAGAUACAUAACAAAUAUACCAUGAAUGCAUAAAUCCCAACCCAGAGCCAUCCAUAACACCCCGUACCAGCCUUACACUAUGUGGGGAGACUACUCGACCCACCCAACCACUACACACCACAGAAAUUGCAGCGAAGCUGCGAAAUAUUGUGACGAAGUCACCAGAUACAGAUAUUAUGGCUAGGCCACCAGAACAGAUAUAUAUAUAUGGCGAAGCCACCAGAUUGCAGCGAGGCUGCCAGAUAUUGUGACGAAGUCACCAGAACAGAUAUAUGUGGCGAGGCCACCAGAUUGCAGGGAGGCUGCCAGAGCGCUUCCUCCAUCAAUAUAAACCCAUGUCCCAUGUAACAGAAAUAAUAUGUCAUGGCAUACGCAUACAGAAACAGAACAUCAUGCUUUUCAGAAAAAAAAAUUACCCUAGGGGUAAAAUCAUAAUUUCGCAUGGAUAAUGGUAUUUCAGUAAUUAUUACCUAUUGCUAAGGUUUCAUGCUUAUUCUAACGUUUAUCAAGUAAUUAAAAGUACUUACCUCAUCUUUUUACCUAAGUGGGCCUGUUGGCCCAUUGGCCUAUUUUCGGCCCAUUAAGCCCAAAAAUACCAUUAUGCAUGAAAAUGCACACUCUGCACUCUAAUCAUCCAAAUGCACCAUAUUCAUUAACAACUGUCUCACGAGCGCUCGCACGCUCGCGAGUUCACAAAAUACCAAUGUUUCGGUAUUUCAACUUUUACCGAUUCAGUAUAAGGGAGGGUGUCGUUUACACACCUGGUUGAUGACGAUAUCUCCCACGCGAUAAUCCUACAAUCAAUCACUAACACAUUAGACUUACGAAUUAAUGAUAACUAACAUAAACCCACGUCAACUAACCCAAUCAUCACACAAGUUAGUCAUUUACGCACGAAGGGCAAUACAGUCAUUUUACCCUCCAGGGGUAAAUCAGUAGUCCUACCCUACAGUGGUAUUUUAGUAAUUCUACAACCUAUCCACUUGGGCCUACGGACCUAUUGGGACCACAUGGCCCAUUUCAGCCCAUCGCGGCCCGAAAUAGCCGUCUACUGCUAGAGUAAUGAGAAAUAAACACUUGUUAGGAGACUGCAGUUAAUCUGCGCUCCAAACACUCUUAGCUGACGCCCAACCCAAACGAGCACGUCACAAAGCGAAAGGGAUCAGCCAAGAAGGGUAUGCCUACUCUCCUCAUGGUUUGCUCUAUUUAAAGCCAGCUCUCCAUCUACUCUUAUGUUAGUUUCCUGAUGUGGGAUCCCUCCAUCACCAGAGUUUAAAACCAACACCAACUCUUGCCGUCCCAACAUAGCAAAAUAAUCAACCUUUGCGUGCCAAGGGAUUAAAACCAAAGUCCUCUCACAUGCCAACUCACGCCACCACCACUAGGCCAUCAACUCAUUUGUGCCAUAAACCCAACACAUUAAACUUUAAAGCGCACUUACUUGCUUCUAGAUUUAUUGAAAAGAAAAACCAAAAUAUAUUGCAAGAGCCAAGACUUGAACCUUGGACCCCUUGCUUCUUCUAUGGCGUCACUUCCUUGUCCCCUAAGUGGCGCCACCUUGCCACUACACCACACUCCUUUUUUGUGUCAUCUUUUACCCCUUUACUCUUAAAAGCCCAAAUGCCAAUUGCAUCACCUGUUCAUAAAAUUAAAAUUCUGAAGACUACCACGGAUUUAAAUUAUGUUUGGGCCUUCCAAAGGCCCACUAACCUACUAAAAUAUAUAUUUUAACCAACCGGAACACACACAAACUUUAAAAAUCAUAGAAACACAGAAAACCUAAAAAUUGGGGCGUUACAACUCUAAAGAAAUUUCAUCCUCGAAAUUUUACCUAAAUCAAAGAGAUGAGGAUAUUGUUGACGCAUUGCCACUUCUGGCUCCCAAGUAGCUUCCUCUCUGCCAUGAUUAUGCCACAGUACCUUUACUAGCGGAACUGAUUUCCUUCUCAAAAUCCUAACAUCUCGAUCCAAAAAUUAGCACAGGCUCUUCCUCAAAACUCAAGUCUGUUUGGACCUUGAUCUCUGCAACCGGCACAACAUGAGUAGGGUCAGAACGAUACCGCCUUAACAUAGAGACGUGAAAGACAUCAUGAAUCCUAUCCAAUUCUAAAGGUAGCUCCAACUAAUAAGCCAUUGGACCCACUCGCUUAAGAAUCCGAUAAGGCCCAAUAAACCGCAGAUUUAACUUGCCUUUCCUCCCAAACCUUAAUAUUUCCUUUCAAGGUGAAACCUUCAAGAAGACCAUAUCACCCUCAAACUACUCAAUUUCCUUGCGCUUCAAAUCUGCAUAUGACUUCUGUCUAUCAGAUGCUUCCUUUAACCGGUCUCUAAUCAACUUGACCUUAUCCCCAGUAUCUACCACCAACUCAGGUCCAAGAACCUAUCGUUCACCCAACUCAGUCCAACAACUAGGUGUACGACAUCUUCGUCCAUACAGUGCCUCAUAAGGAGCCAUUCGAAUACUUGCCUGAUAACUGUUGUUGUACGGAAACUCUGCCAACGGUAAGUAAUCCUCCCAACUGCCUCGAAAGUCGAUAAUGCAUCCCCUCAACAUGUCUUCCAGAAUCUAAAUAACCCUUUCCGAUUGACCAUCAGUCUGAGGAUAAAAGGUUGUACUAAAGUGCAACCGCGUACCCAACGCCUCAUGCAACUUUUUCCAAAAUCGAGAUGUGAAUCUAGGAUCUCGAUCAGAAAUAAUUGACACUGGCACUCCGUGAAGUCGCACUAUUUCCGCCACAUACAAUUUGGCUAACUUCUAAAGUGAAUAAUCAGUGCGGACAGGUAUGAAAUGAGUAGAUUUGGUCAACCUAUCCAUAAUUACCCAAAUCGAGUCCUUCUUCGACGGUGUCAAGGGUAACCCACUCAGAAAAUCCAUGGUUACCCUCUCCCACUUCCAAAGUGGUACUUUCACUGGCUGCAAAAGUCCGAAAGGUAAUUGAUGUUCAGCUUUCACUUGCUGACAAGUCAGACAUUUUCCCACAACUUCCGUUACCUCUCGCUUCAAUCCAGGCCACCAAUACAACUCCUUUAAGUCGCGAUACAUUUUACUCCCUCCAGGAUGCAUAGCACACAAACCUCCAUGAGCUUCUUUCAGAAUUGCUUGCCUCAAGUCAGAGUCCUUCGGAAUACAAACUCUACCUCGGUAACACAGAACUCCCUUACUAUUCAAUCCGAACUCAGAAGUAUCCCCAUUCUUAACCUGCCAGAAUCGAGAAACUAGGGACUCAUCCUUCGACUAUUUUUCCUUAAUCUCAUCCACCCAGGUCGGCCUAACUUGUAGUUCUGCUAACAGACUACCGUCAUCAUACAGACUCAAAUGAGCAAACAUGGCUCUCAGAUCAGAUACAGUUCUACGACUUAGGGCAUCAGCCACCAUAUUAGCUUUACCUGGGUGAUACUCAAUCAUGCAGUCAUAAUCCUUAAGCCACUCUAUCCAUUUCCACUGCCUAAGGUUCAGCUCCUUCUGAGUCAGCAAGUACUUAAAAGUCUUAUGAUCUGUGUAUAUAAUACACCUUUCUCCGUACAGGUAAUGUCUCCAAAUCUUAAGCGUAAAAAUUACCGCUGCCAACUCCAGAUCAUGAGUAGGAUAGUUAACUUCAUGUGGUUUAACCUGCCGCAAUGCAUAAGCAACCACUUUACCCUCUUGCAUCAGCACACAGCCCAACCCUACAUGUGAUACAUCAUUGUAUAUGGUAAAAUCUUUUCCAGACUCCGGCUGAAUUAGUAUAGGUGCCUCGGUCAGAACUUUCUUCAGCUUCUCAAAAGAUUCCUGUUGUUUCUCAGUCCAAACAAACGGUACUCCCUUUCUUAAAGCUUUGUCAAAGGCGCUGCCAUCACAGAAAAUCCUUCCACAAACCUCCUAUAGUACCCAGCUAAACCUAGAAAACUUUGAAUUUCUGACACUGACCUCGGUAGCUUCCAUUCCAGAAUCACUUUAAUGUUUCGAGGGUCCACCUUGAUCCUUUCAGCAGAGACAACAUGCCCUAAGAAAGUUACCUCUCUCAACCAGAACUCACACUUACUGUAUUUCGCAAAAAGCUCCUUCUCCCUCAGCACUUACAGCACAAUACGAAUAUGCUCAUCAUGCUUCUCCUCAGUUUCAGAAUAAACUAGAAUAUCGUUGAUAAAGACGACUACGAAUCGAUCUCAGUAUGGCUGGAACACUCAAUUCAUCAGAUCAAUAAAUGCUGCAGGUGCAUUCGUCAACCCAAAUGGCAUAACCAAGAAUUCAUAGUGACCAUACCGAGUUCUGAAUGCCGUCUUGUGAAUAUCCACCUCCUUAGUCCUCAACUGAUGAUACCCAGAUCGAAGUUCAAUCUUGGAAAAUACUGAAGCUCCUCUAAAUUGGUCGAAUAAAUUAUCGAUUCUUGGUAGUGGGUACUUGUUCUUAAUCGUCAGUUUGUUCGACUGCCGAUAAUCUGUGCACAUCUGCAUUCACCUAUCUUUCUUCUUUACGAACAACACUGGUGCUCCCCACGGAGACACACUUGGUCUAAUGAAGCCUCUAUCCAAUAACUCUUGAAUUUGGGCUUUCAGCUCCACCAACUCCUUCGGUGCCAUCCUAUAAGGUGCAAUGGACACUGGUGCCAUUCCAGGCAACAAAUCGAUUCCAAACUCAACCUCUCGAUUCGGGGACAAACCUGGAUGCUUCUCUGGAAAAACAUCUUGAAAAUCCUUGACGGUUCUAACUUUAUCCACUGUUAAAUCCUCAGUUUCUGAUUGGCUUACAAAUGCCAAAUAAGCCUUACAUUCCUUUCGAAUCCACUUCUUGGCUUUUAAUGCCGACACCACAUUAGACAGAUAAUCCCUACGCUCGCCUAUCACCAAAACUCCUCAUCCUUUGUGGUCUUUAACAUAAUUGGCUUAGCAGCACAAUCCAGAGUAGCCCUAUGCUUAACAAGCCAAUCCAUUCCCAAAAUGAGAUCGAAUUCUCCGAAAGGUAGCUCCAUCAGUUCUCUAGAGAAAAAUUUUCCUUCAGUUUCUAUAGGCACAUCUCUAUACAAUUUAUCUACCCUAACCGAGUGACCCAAAGGACUUAGUACUGAUACCCCACUCACGGUCUCCUCAGAGCGCACACCCAGCGACCCAGAUAUAGCACAAGCAACAUAUGAAUGGGUAGAUCCAACAUCUAUCAACGCAGUGUAUGGCAUACUGGAAAUCAGAAAUGUACCAUUAUGACUUCAGGUGCAUCACCCUCCUCUUGGCGACGAGCUGCAUACACCAAUGCCGGCUGACGAGCCUCAGCAAAUCCAGCACCCCUGCCAGGUGCUCCUCUUCCUCGACCGUUUCCAUUAACACAUCUGCCUUGCCCACGUCCUCUCGGAAAUUGUGGUCCACCCCUCACUGGUUGAGCGACCCUCUACUCUAAAACUUAAACCUGAUCUGGCUCCUGGGGACAAUCUUUAACCUUAUGCUCCAUAGAUAUGCCUCGAAAACAAGCACCAAAACUUUUCCGACACUCGCCCAUAUGCAUCUUCCCACAAUUCCUACAACCCAGCGGUCUAACAGCAUUUAUCGGUACUGCUCAAACUGGCUCCAUUACCCUUGCUCUAUUAACAUUCCUGUUCAUACCACCUGAAAGUCCUGAAUCUCUCCUAAAACGGUUCCGAUCUUUCUCACGAUUUUGUCUUUCUGUAUGCUUCACUUCCUCAACUAUCUUAGCUUUCUCCACUAAAGCAGCGAAGUUACGCUCCCUCUACGGAACAAUCAGCACCCUAAGUUCAUCUCUCAGACCAUCUUCGAAGCAUAUGCUACACUCAUACUCUGUAGCGACAAUCCCAGAAGCAUACCGGCUCAGUCUCAGAAACUCAGACUCAUACUCAGCCACUGACUUACUCCCUUGGACCAGGUUCAGAAAUUCUUUCCGGUGAGCGUCCACGUAACUAGCCCCAACAUACUUUCCUUUGAAGGCUAUCUCAAACUGCUCACCCACUCACCGUGAGCCACCACUGAUAAGCCUCAUCCCUGAGUAACGAUAUGACUCCCUUCAGCUUCUGCUCCACAGAGUUGUCUAGAUCAUCCAUAAUCUGCUCUAUUGCUUCUAACUAAUACUCAGCCACAUUCGGAGCUACACCAGAUACGCCCCUAAAUAUCUCUACUCCAUUGGCCCAGAGUCGCUUAGAAAUAGACCCCCGAAUUUUGUUUCCCAUACUUGCCCCAACAACCCUUUCCAAAACUCAAAGCAUUGCCUGGGACAGAGCAUUGUCCCUGGCACCUUGAUCAUGAGACUCUACCUCCAUUGCUGGUGGUACCGGUGCAUCUGCUGUCCUGAAGACGAAGAUUCAGCCUGAGCAUUACCUCGGCCACGUCCACGGCCUCUUACAUGAGCUGUUCGUGUACUCAUUUCGUAUUAUCUUAUUAAGAAUUUUAUGAAUCAGUUUAAUAUUUCAGUGUUUAUUAUAGAUGUCUUAUGAAUAACAGUAAUUCAGAGUUUGAGUUUGUUUCCUUUUACGGUAGCCUAGCUACAGUCUCAGUCUACUUAUCAGAGUUUCUAUAGUUCCAGUGUUACCCUAACUAAAGUACCAUGAUAAGGUUUUGUAAAAGCAUAUAACAGAUAUUUCAGAAACAAUCAGAAAGGCUCAGAAAACUUACAGACUUGGGUCGAAGAUUCGGUGUGCCACCUUUUAAAAAAA
rnacentral:lncRNA from 1 species